rnacentral:lncRNA from 1 species
CCCCAAGCUUAACCUUUGCUCGUCCCUGAGCAAAGAUGAACUCAAGAGUUUCUGCAGUGGUUUCAUAACUUAAAGAUACACAUGCGUUUAAACAAGAUUUCAUCUCUGGUUAGAGUAAACUGUUAAGACUUAAAACUUACUCAUUUACCUUUCACCAUGGGACUUGUAACCAUCACUUUUGUCUUGAGUAGUUAAAAGAUAGAACAGUCUACUCAAGCACUAUGUCUCUUGUUCUUCGAUUAACUAUAGCUCUGGAGUUUUUUGCAGAUUUUCAAAUAAAACUCAGAGAUUCCUUGUAUGACUCUCUCUAGUCUCUCUUUUGUGGUAUUUCUAGAUCCUUACCAAGGCAGUAAUGGUGUAUGCGUUCUCUCAAAGUAUGUGGUAUUUGUAGUAUAAGGCAUAGUGACAUUGCCUUCUCUCUCACCCUACUCUAAUAAGGCUUUGAUAUCUGGAGCUCAUAGGUGGGAGACAGCUAAUACAUACUUACAAGACAUUUAUUGCAUAGUCAAACCAUGGAUCCAGAAGAACAAGUCAAUAAGUCAAAUCAAGAUGUGCAUGUGUGGCGAAUGAAUAGUAUAUGGUGAUGAUGGUGAUAACAAUGGUGAAAGUCUAAUUCUACUUGUGCUCUUUUGAGGGGAUACAUACCUUUCUUGCUCUUUUGAAACUUUCAGGGAGAAUGAGAUGCUCUGUAUUUUCUUUUUCUUUUUUUUUCUUUUCUCUCAGGUGGGUAUCUUGUACCCCUAAUUCUACUGUCGGACACUUGUCCAUUUUUACCUCUCGUCUCACUUUUUCUUCUUUUUUUUCUUUCGAGGUUCCGGGCACUUGCCCCUUUUUAUUUCCUCGUAUUCUUCUUCUUUUUUUUUCUCUUUUUUUCUUUAGAGCACUCAUCUCAUGAGAUAAUAUAGCAAGUGGUAGUAACAAGAUAACUUGAGCAGUUAUUUCACAGGGAAAAAAUAGAAAUAUUUUUGGCUAUUCUCUCCCGGAUUAGGAGUAGAAUAUUUUUGGGUGGUUCUGGAGAUGGAAAUGGGUAUAUGUGGAUGGUACUUCCAGAGUAGAAGUAGCAUGUAUGAGUGAACGUGCAAGUGAAUCUUGACUUAACCACAUGACAAGCUCCUAAGGGUCUACACAGCUUGACCACACUCAAUGCUCAUAAGCAGUAAAAAGUAAAUGUGUGGCUCAAAGUCUAGCAAGCAUGUAUAUAUGGCUGUGGUAGGAAUUUAAACUCUCAUCAUACAGGAACUCAUCAUGUGAUAUUUUAAAGAUUUUCAAAGAUAAAAUUCUCCAGAAUUCUAGCAUCUCUAGGAACAGAUAAACAGCAGCUCAACCUUCCCAUAUCAUAUCCGUUAACGACUUAGACUUCAGAUCAAGUACUCUUCCCACAAGUUCAGGUUUAGAGCAAAUCUUAAUUAAUAACAGUGAUACCUAAACUUGAGAGAGAUUUCAAUUUUGAGAACUAGUCAUGGCAGAGCAACUAUUCAUCUUUCCAUGUGAAAGCUUAUCAUGAGCGUUCAUAGCAAAUUUUUAUUUAUUUAUUUAUUUAGCAAACUAAGCAAAGAUAUAUAUAUAAGCACAAAAUCUUUAUUUGGGUUUUUAUGAUUAUGCAUCUUUUUAUUAUUUGAGUAAAAUAUAAACGUGAGUAGAAUACUUAGCUGGAUAAAUGGAGGUGCUCUCCCCCAAGCUGGAUUUUGACGUAAUUCCUUUUGAUGUAGCAGGUGGCGGAGGUGUAUUUGAAUGUCGGCAGCACCCUGACAUUGAUUAGGAUGUCCUCCGUCUACUAGUCUUCUUUGAUCCUUUAAUUCUGUGGAGCUCAAAUAGACAACAAAGCUUUGUGGAACUAGUUAAGUGUUAGCAUAAAUAUCUAGCCUUUAUCAUGUUGAGCCUCCUCAAUAAAUGUUACUCUCUUUAGUAGGAUCAUAAAUUUAUUUUUAUAUUUUCAUUUUUAUAGGACAGGAAUAUAUUUAUUUAUUUUUACGCCACCACAAUGAAUGUACUUAUGGGUUUUAUGCCAUGAGCAUACUCACAUGGGGCUUACUAUUUUUAACAUUUUUAUUUUCUUUUCAAGAUAAUAUGAACCUGAUUAACUAAGCAAACUAUUUUAAAAUAAUUGAAAGGAAAAAGAUAAUUACCAAAUUUACCUCUUGGCAAAGCGUUCGGUGUUUUUAAGUCCUCCGAACGGGACUCUCCGUUUUCUCAGUCGUCCUGGGAUUCGCUGGAUGGCGUAGUCGGUGGUUCCGGCGGCGCCUUCUCUUCAUGUAUAACUAUCUUCUCUCUCCACACUUGACUCGGUGCUACGGUCUCCUCAGGACAGUUCUGUUCAAGCUGUAUGUCGUCAGACAUUACAACUUCUCCUUCAUAGUCUACCCAUCCGUCCUUGAUGAUUUGUUUCCUCUGGUUGCGGUCGCAUCCUCGUCUUCUUGUCCUGACCUGCUUAGAGUCUUUAACUAUAUAGUUAAGGUCAGUAAAAUAGCAGCGUACCUACUCAGAGGGGAAGUGCAUGUGGACUUCUCCGGUUCCAAUGUAGAUGAUUGCUUUAACAGUGCUAAGGAACGGUCUUCCAAGGAUGAUGGGUGGAUCGUACUUGUCUUCUCCCAUGUCAAUAACCUAAAAAUCAUCUGGAGCUGAAUGUAUGACGGUUUUAGGGGCAUGGUUCCGAAUAGGAGCUGAUAGGUGACUGGCAGCCAUUAUGUUGACACCUGACCCGGUGUCGCAAAGCAUCUUCUGGAAGUUGUAUCCAUCAAUGGAGCACUGGAUGCUUGGCAUACUUGGGUCAUCCUUUUUGGUUAGGAACGGUGACUUAAGUCGACGAUCUUGACCUCCUUGAACUGCAGUGACCAUCUUUGCUGACUUGGUCCACAUUUGCUUGUUCCUGUUCCUCCUGUUGGUCCUCUUCCUUGUUUCAUGUCAGGAUUGCUCUGAGAUUUGUGUAGUCUUGUUCUUGAAGGAAAACGUCUCCGUCCUUCCCUUGAUGUAGAAACUGAUCUUGACAGCACUAGCGUAGAUGACAGCUCUCGAGGUGUUCAGGAAUGGCCUCCCUAGGAUGAUGGGUGCCCUCUCAUCAGUAUCAGUCUCUAUCACCACGAAGUCUGCUGGAGCGUAUAAGGUACCAACUCGGACAUAGAGGUUCUUCAAUAUUCCCUUUGGGAAACUUAGUGUCUGAUCUGCAAGCUGCAAACACAUGGUUGUUUCUAGGAAAGGAUAUGUAAAGAAUUUGUCAUAGAGUAUUCUGAGCAUAAUGUUGACGCUGGAGCCAAAGUUGCAGAGUGCUUCUAGGAAGUCCACCAUGCUGAUGGAGAUCGGGAUGACGGGACGUCCUGGAUUGUAUCUCUUGACCGGCAGAAGGUCAGUAAUUACUUCCACAACAGGGUUACUCUAGUAGUUACGUCCUCAAGCAUCUCAGUGCAGUGAUUGCCUGAGUGUCCAGUAUCUCCAGUGUGUUUGUGCUCAUAGAUCUAGGUUCUUCACUUGGUGGAGUCUUGUGAAAGCUUUCCUUUCUUAUCGGUUGUGCAUCGUGUUUGUGGCACACUCCAGGGAUCAUCUCUUGUGAGCUAUGUCUUCCUUGUGUAAAUUGUUAAACUUCAUGUGUGUCUCUCUUUGUCUCCAAUGUGAGUUUAUCUCAGGACUUUCCAGGUCGAUAGUGAAAGUUUUCCUGCAGGGGUUAGUCCAACAAAAUAUCCAAUAUCUACUAUAGCAUACUAUCGGCUCAAAGAUCAACCUAGACACCAUGUAUAAUUUGAUUUAGGAGGGCAUUUUAACUUAAGCAUCAUGCUUAAUUUAAACUCCCUUGGAUGUAAGAUCAUCAGCCCUAAACUAAGCACCAUGCUUAAUUAAGAGAUAAAUGAAACUACUCCAAGCCUAGACAUAUACUAAAACAAAUAAAGGUAGCAUGAGAGCAUUUAUAGAGAUCUACUCAAGUGGAGAUGAAGUAGUGUGAUUAGUAUUUAACUAAUUGAGCAUGUCUCAAAGGUUGGGACAACCAACAUAGCAACAUGGCAAAGGAUGUUUUUAUGUAAAGUACUCCCCCAAGCUUGAAUUUUGCAAAAUUCAAGUUUGGAUGAAUUUAAUUCAAUGUUGUAUGAUGGUUGGUUGGACAUACCUUGUGCUUGUCAUUCAUCCGAUCUUCUUGCUCCAAUCCUGAAAAGGUUAGUGACAAGAAUACCCGAAGGAAUUUUUUUACAAUUGUCCUUAUAUGCUAAACACACAAGGUAAUGUUACAAAUAAUUAAAAGCUCAUGUUACGAUCUUAUCAGUGCUUGUUUUAGGACACUAAGCUUGUCCUUUGGGAAACCAUCAAUUUAUGUCGGCGAAGUGGUUUCCCCUCCAACGCUGACCUAUAUCAAGAUCAAUUCAACGAGAUCUACAAUAUUUAAUAUAGACAUAUGCAUCGACAACCGCCCUUUUAAAGUUUUUAUAAAUAGAAAGGAAGAGGGGGUUGGAGAUCUCGAAUGUGGUGAUGUUGGAGAGACCAAUGGAUUGUGAAGAUGUUGCAUAUGAGCAUGGAGUAAAUGAAGUGGCUAUGAAAUAAAUUCCAUGCUCAUUAAUGCUUAGAGUGAAAUCCAUGUGGUGUGGUGAAAAUGAUAAGGUGAGUGUGGUAAAAAGGAAAAAGGAUACACGGACGACUUGGUUCGAAACUAGCACAGCUACCGUUCCCCGGCAACGGCGCCAGAAAGCUUGUUGGGUAUUUUAAACGCAAACAGAAAAAUCCGCAAGCGCACGGAUACCGAUGUAGCUUUCACCCGGGAGUAUUCCAGAGUAUCGAUUUUCCACAGAGAACGUGAGUGUACUAAUUAAGAUCCAAGAUCGCCCAAGGAUAAAUAUAUGAAUAUUUUUGGUGGGAAGAGAGGAAGUUUCCUGAGAGUUCUCUAGUUGAUCUAAGAAUCAAGAAUUACUUCAAGAUUAUCUAUUUCGGGACAUCAGAACACUAACCACAGAAAGAGAUGAGAAGGGGGCUAGGAAGCUCCGACUACGGUCCUACAAACACCGAUCCGAACGAGGUGGAAUACGUCGACCGUUAGGGCUGUCACUAUCCUAAGGCUACCACAACAAUCCGCAGGAUUGGGUGCAAUUCCAGGUAAUUGCAAGACUAAACACCACGUCUAAUCUAUUAAUUACUACUCUAAUGUUUCAAAGACUAGAGCACUUGAUGCAAGCGGGAAUCCAAUAAAUAACUUGAAUGUAAAUAAAAGUAAUUAUAGAACUCAGGAGUUAUGAAUUGAAGAACCUGGAGAACUAUGAAGAACGAACCAGAUGCUGCAAAAGUAUAAUGUUGAGGAAGAUCCGACAGAUCCGGCUCCUCCUCCGCUCUCCUCUUCUCUCUCCCUAUUUUCUAGAUUACAACUAGAACUAACUAGAACUAGAACUAGAGGAACUAGAACUAGAACUAGAUGAACUAGAACUAGAUCUAGAUGAACUAGAGGUAGAACUAGAAGAACUAGAGGGAUCCUCUAUACUUGGAUGAAGAAUUGAAACCCUAACUUUGAUUCUAUAGAAGAGGUAUGAUCUCCAGGGGCCAGGGGGUCUGGUUUUAUAGUCCCUUCAAGUGAAUCUGGGCCGUCGGAUCAAACAGACAUUGAUCGCACGGUUUUCCUUGAUCCUUUAGGUCGGUGGAGCAUAAUCCGCGAAACGUGUCCUGAUUGGACACUGUAGCUGGGCGGGCGCCCUGCCUCCGAGCCCGAUUUCCUUCCCGUUCGUUCCCGUGGCUUCUGGAGUCUUCUAGAUGAUAGAAAAUUGCGCGUCACGUUAAUAUCUCUAUGUAAACCCGACGUGUGGGCCUUUCUUCCAUAUUUCCUGAUAACCCCCUGCAGAAAUAGACAAACACCAAAACUCGUGGAAUUCUGUCAGAUAAAACCCUAAGUCUAGGUGUUGGUUGCAUUUGGAUCCUUUUUUAUGAUUAGUUGAUGGUUAAAUAUGAGCAUUAAGGACCGUCAACACCAAUCAUGUUAGUUUGCUUUAGUUAGGUUGAUUGUUUUAUCAUGAUGAUUUGGCUCUUUGUAAUAGGUGUAGCUUCAGUGAAUAUCAGGGAAGAUCCCUAUUAAGUGGGUAGAGUUGUCUCACCCCAAAAUUUCUAUUUUGGGAUGUGACAUAGAAAAUAUUAAAUGACAUCAAUUGAUUUUAUCAUUUUUCUAAAAUUUCCCAACUUUAGUUAUUCUGUUGACAUUCUAGAUAGUGGAUGUCACACCCAUAUUUUAAGAACAAAAUAGGAUGCAUAAAAGACUCAUAUGUGCCCCAGAAACAGUCACACAAAUAAGUAGACAAAUCUCAAAUGUACCAUUGCAGUGUUUAUUACAUAACAGGACGAUAAUAAAUCACAUAGUCUUAUACAAUAAUAAUAAUAAUAAUAAUAAUAAUAAUAAUAAUAAUAAUAAUAAUAAUAAUAAUAAUAAUAAUAAUAAUAAUAAUAAUAAUAAUAAUAAUAUAAUAAUAAUAACAAUAAAUAACGCUCUCAACGGAAGCUUCACACAGGUAUAGACAUUGACUGGUUGACUUCAAACCUAAUACUCAUAUCGAUAGUCCUUAUUCCAAUCAUCUUCAUUUGCAUAACCUGGGGUGUUGGGAAAUUGCAAGAGUGAGCACAUAUCGUACUCAACAAGUAUAACCAGGGGUUCAUGAGGCUCAAAUAGCUGACACUGGUUUAACUGCAUUUAGCUUUUAAUUAGGGAUAGCAUGUUCAUAAUUAAAUAGCAAGAGUCAAGGUAGCACAAGUAAUCCAAUAAUCACAUGAUCAAAUGUAAGCAUAAUUAACUCAUAGCAUAAAGAUAACCAAAUGAACAUAAUAACUUAACAAGCUCAUCAUCUUUAGUAUAAGAACCCCAAGGCCGCUCAUAACCGUGAGCACGGCUAGUAUACUAGUUUUAACACUCUGCAGAAGUUUUACAUCUUUACCCAUGAGUCAUGAUUUGCCCUUUCGCCCAAGGUAGCUAAUCUCUUAACCCCCUUCCUAGGGAGAUUGGCAGGGAUCACUAUGAAGCCUUUCAAAAGUUCGUCUAACAUGUUAGGGCCGCAAGAUUUCCCGGGCGCGUAGAUAUAGAGCUCCCCUUCCAAUGGCACAAUGACUCGCAGCCUAUACACAUAAAGACAGAGGCCACACUAUACCCAAAACGACAAGCCCCUCUAGCGCCCUUUUGGGUAACCGCUAACAAGCUAGAAAAUGUCUUCAUACUGAGCUAAAGCCAGAGCAAUUAUAGCCCUCUUGGUUGCACUGUUAUCCCGAUGAUCACUUAUAGACAAGAUCUCAUAUGGUUAUCAGUCAUCUUUCAACGUUCAUUGCAUAGCUAUUAAUCAUCUUACAAGAUCAUGGAUUACAUCAAGCACUAGCAUAACUACACCAAAAUGCAUAUCAAAUAGGUAACAAGGAAUACAGGUAACAAUCAUCUAUGAUUUUGCUAAGGUCGACAAGGUAGACACAUGCAUAUGAUAUAUAUAUAUAUAUGUAUUUAUAAGUGUGUAGGUAACAAGAAUGAUUCCAAGUUAUACUUGCCUUGAUCAAAGCUCUCCUGAGCCUGCUGCUGGUCGUCAAAAGCUUGGUCUUGCUCACCAACGUACGACUCACCGUCUAUCCCUAAACAUCAAUCAACAACACACAAUCCAAUAUAGACAAUCAUACACAAAGCAAACAAGCUGUAGUUAAAACAUUACACCAACAGUGAUAAAUCAAAGAUAAAAGUUUAUGAAAAUAUUCUAAACAGCGCUACGAUCACACAAACGUAAAGUUCACGAAAAUCGGAAUUAAAACGUAGAAGUUAUGAAUUUUCUAAGAUUUCCUAUAAAUAAAUAAAUAAUUAAAUGCUACUACGAAAUUAAAAAGUUUCAAAACAGAGAAAUAAUACAUCUAACAUGUAGAGCUCGUAAAUACAAAUCUAACAAAAUUUUAAUGGACAAAAACGGAGUUAAAACGAAUAUUUUAUAAGCAAAACAAAUCCAGUGGUAAUUCUGUAAAUAUAUGAAAGCAUAUUUUGAACUUAGCCGACAAGAAUACGCCUUCCAAACUGAAAAGCGUAAAACCGCCAAUGCGCCAUGGACCGCGGGUUUGAAUCUCAAGAAUCCCAGGGACUCUUUAGAAAAAGAGGCAGCGAAGGGGUAUGUUUCUUUCUGGGGCGUUGAACUUCGAUCGGACGGCUCGGACGCAUCAGGGGGGAUGACAGGCGGCGGCCGGCCGACUCCCUGUACUCCGGCGCGGUGGUGCGCCAUGGGCGCCACUCGGAGCUCACCGGCGUUCUUCAAUCUCAUGAAUUUGUGCGCCAAAAACCGAACUAAGGACAUGGGGACAUGGAGAAGCUCACCGCGGACCCGCUGGAGUGCUUCGCUGGCGCCGAAGUGCAAGGGAAAGAGCUCGCGACGCACGGCGGCUGGCUCCCUCUCGGCGAGUUUCAAUCAUGCGCGGCUAGGGCUUGGUUUUCUAGGUUUUUGCGGCACGGGUGGAAAAACGAGAUGCGGGGUGAAGCUAAAGGCCUUUAUAGGGCUCGGGGAAGUCAAAUCCCGCAUAAAUCGGGAUAGGGAAGGAUUUGGUGGCGUCCCGGUUUGAGUCCGGCUCGGUGACGCCCGAAAGAAGAAGGAAGCGGGGUGAGACGCUGGCGUGCGGGCCCGUGCUGUCAGCCAGAGGUGCGCUGGGUCCCAGCCGUCAGUGGCAGCAAGGAAGGAGAGGGGAGGGGCGCGCCUGCUGGCCGCGCUCUGGGCCGCCGGUUGGGCCGAGCGAGGGGGAAGAGGGGUGCUGGGCCGUGCGCGGGGGAGAAGCAGGCCAGGGGGAUAGGGCUGGCUGGGGUUUUUCCUUUUUUAUUCUUUCUUUUCCAAAACCUUUUUUUAAUAGGAGCUUGAAUGCAAUUAAUUUCCAACCAAAAGCAACAAGCAUAAAAUAAAAUAUGCUCCAGCAUGAAUGCAUAAACAAGUUCCUAACCCUAUGAUAAAUUUUAAUUUCUACAAAAAUUAAUUAAAUGCUAAGUUAAAUGCUCACAAAAUACUUAAAUAAAUCCAAUUAAUUCCUAUUAGUUAUGUCGGUGUGUGGACUCAGGGUCCAAGCACUAAAAAGUAAUAAGUCUGCGUGUCCUCCUAAACCCGAAUGUUGAUGCAAGGGAACACAGGGGAUUUAUACUGGUUCGGGCUUCAAAUGCCCUACGUCCAGUGAGGGGAUCGGAGUUUGUAUUGCCUUGCACCUGAGAGUGCUUGUAGUAGGGGUGUACAAGCUGGUUGCGAGAGAGGGCUAAGUCCCAAGUCGGGACUUUAGGGAGUAAAUGGAGGGGAGUGCACUACUUGGGUGAAGAGUGUUGUUUGUGAUCUGUGUGUGUUGCCGUGUCUUUGAUAGGUGCCCUGCCUCCCCUUUUAUAGCCGCAAGGGGUAGCAGGGUUUUUAUAUGUGUAAGUUUGUGAAUUAUCUCUGGUGAGUGUAGUAGUGACGGUGCAGGUCCUGUGGAGAUCGGCCACUUCGUCCUUUGGGUAUGGCUUGACGGCGUGGUCACUCCUAUGGAGGGUCGUUGAGCCCUGUUGAUGUUGUGGUGGUCGGGUCGGUUAUACUGCAGCGUGUCCUGCAAUAGUAAGGUAAUGUUAGUCUAGAUGUGGUCAUAGUGGCAGGGGUUAACCCUCCCCAUACCUCCUUUUAUUGUAAGGCAAUGCCCCACAGUGAAAGAGGUAAGGUUCCACAGUGACUCGAGUUGUUGAAAUAGUAGCCGGCAUGCCCUGCUGCAGCGUGGGAGGCACGGUGCACGUCACAUCGGAGGUACGACCAUCGUGUGCUGGUAGCCUGGCUCCAAGGCCGAGGCUCGAGUGAAGCACAGAUUGCGCUCGAUGCUGAGGUUUUGGUAAAGGCGAAGAUCUCGUCCGAGACUCAGGGCUCGGGCGAGACGGAGCUUGCGUUUGAGGCUAGGGGGUCAGGCGAGAUGGAGCUUGCAUCUGAGCCCAGGCGGUCGGGCGAGACGGAGCUUACGCCCGGGCCGAGGGGGGUCGGGCGUGAUGGAGCUUGCGCUCGAGCCUGAAGGGGUCGGGCGCUCGUCCUACUUCUUUUUGCCGCUUUUUGUCCCCUUAGUCUGGGUAUCCCUUUUUACGGUACCCAACAGUAGCCCCCGAGCCUAUGGAGCAGCUGGAAUGCUCCUCCAGAGGUUCCUUCUAAGAGUUGAUGGUUGGAUUAAGGCUUUUAUUUCCUCCGGAGGGUGCGCGCGAGCGCACCCGCCGGGUGUAGCCCCCGAGCCUUUGGAGGAAUGGUGGCAUUCCUUCAAAGGCUUUUACACCUUGAUGUCAUUGUAGGGAGUUUUUUUCGGGGAUAGGGUACAUGUUCUUUACAUGCAGGGCCUAUUACCCCGCGCGGGUGAAGCCCCCAAGCCCUUUUCCCUUAAGGGUCGAUCAGGGUCUUUCUCGACUUGAUUUUACGCCCCUCAUUCAUCCUUUCGCUAGGAGGAGGGAUGGGUGGCAUCGUACUAUCCUCGGUGGGUGAGUAUCGACGUUCCUAGGGAGUUGCUAGCAGGUAGAUCCAAGUGGAUGUCCGAGACCCGUUCGAUAGGGGUCGGCUUGUGGCCCUAUGGGCACAUCUCAAAAUACCCAAGGGCAGUUACGGUGGAUGUCGGAACCAUCCGAUAGGUUCUGAGGGCUCGAUGCCUCCCUCGAUGGGAUCCCACUCGUGCAACACCUGCAUGGGUCUUGGAUACGACUAGUAAGAUGCGCCGAGCCUCUGUGGGGCUCAGACCAUGGGCCUCUAUCGUGCUCACCCUCAGUCAUCCUUUGCUCUGUUAUCCUAAGGCGAAUGUUCGAACCCACUUGGUGGGUCAGUCUCGCAACCUCUGGAAUGUAAGUCGCCGUGGCCUGGGGAUUUUUACCUUAGGAGGUGUCGGCUCGGUCGUGGCAGGGGGGUCGAGUGCCGCUUGCCCUGGAAGGAACCACCCUGACUCGACCUUUAGGGCGCUCCUUUUGAGACAACCCAUAUUGAGAGCCGGAACGACCAUGCCAUUGCGCCUGAGUUAGACAAGACAUUCUGCCUACGAAUUUAAUGCGCGUGUGGGCGUGGUUGGCGUGAGAAUCGGAAAAGGAUGGAUGCUUUGGUUACCUCACCUAGUUAAUGAGGCGGCCGGCGGUUCCUCUUUCCUUCCCUAAUCUGCUGCGUGGGAGACGGACUGCAGUACGCUUUUUCUAUAAAAGCCACCGCGAGGGUCUUUGGUUUUUCCUCUACUUGCCUCUGCCUCCGAACAAUCUUGCCCCCAAGCCCCCUGCUACCGCCUUAUUGACACCACCGUGCUAAUGCAAGCACCCAUCUCCACCUGCAGCCAUGGCCGGCGACGACAUGUGGCACCCAUGCAAUGUCACCGAGGCAACGCUGGAGGCCUGUGUGAAGGGUGGACUUCUCCGUCCUAUCAUGGAUGAGGGGAUGCCGGAGUGGAUCAUGCCCCCGGUGAACGACAGGGAGCCAAACCCGCCUCUAGGCUAUGUGGUUUCCUUCCUGACUUUCCUAGACCGAGGGUUCGGGAUUCUGGCCUACCGAUUCAUGUGGGCUCUUGCGCACUACUAUGAAGUAGAGCUGCACAAUUUCAACCUGAAUUCGAUCAUGCAGGCGGCUGUCUUCGCCAUGGUGUGCGAGGGGUACUUGGGGAUUCCUCCCCAUUGGUACCUCUAGCUCCACCUAUUCAAGGUGGAGAUGUCUUCCUGCAACGAGGGCAGGGAGAAGAGGCCCUUAAGGGCCGGCGACUGCACGCUCCAACGCAUACAUCUAAAGCAUCAUGCCGUCGUCGAACCGGGGGUGGCAGAACGGGUGGUUCUACCUCCAGAACGACCACGACCUUCUUCCGGAGUACACCGGGAAGAUGGUGCUCGAGUGCCUCGCAAAAUGGGGGUGGGGUGCUCCCGCAUCGGAGCAGAAAAGGCUGGACCCCCUUCUCGAGGCCCUCGUGAAGCUUUGGCACGUGGGGGUCACUGCGGCCACGGUGGCGGUCGCCUUCCACAAGCGAAGUCUCCUGCCGCUGGCGCAGCAGGUGGUGCACAUGUGGGAGAUGACUCGUGACACUCCUUGGGCCGGGACGCGGAUGCUGGAGGCGCCAGUGUCUCCUACAGAGAUCGACACCCAAGUCUUGAGGACGAUAUCCUCGGAGUUGAAGAACUAUCGGGUGGUGCCGAUGUGUCCCAACAGGGACUACAUCUCUCUGGUAAGGCACCUCCAUCUUUGUUCCCGCUUCAUCGUCCCCUUAUUCGUUCCGACCUUUAUUUAGUCUGUCAUUUGCUCGUAGGGAAUGGGCAUUGUCAGGUAUGCCCUGCCCCUGGUCCUGGAAGAUCAAGAGAUCCGGGCCUAGAACCGGUCCAUGAAUGAAGAGCAACAGCGCUAGAAGAAUGAGAAGAAGAAGAAGAAGGCAAAGAAGGCAAAGACAGCAGACGCCUCUGCCAAGCGCCGCCGCGAGGCCGAGAAGGCGGGGCUCCACGAGCUCGAAUCUUCCGAGGCCUCAGUCUAGGAGGUUGAGGGCAGGGAAGACUCACACUGGCUGAAUGAACUCCUCGAUGAGGAGGAGGAGGAUGAAGAGGUCCUCCAGUCGAUGAGGGGACAGAGGCCCCAGGAGGGUCAUAGGUUCUAGGGGGUGCAGAGGGCACCCCCUACAUCAUCAUCGACGAUGGAGGGGAUGAAGCCCCUUGAGGGGGAUCGGUUCCACCGGAUCCCCAAGAAGGGGAGAUGGCGUCGGGCGGAGAGCCUGAGGUGCCCAUGGUGUCAAAGGGCGCAACCGAACCUCGUCCAAAGACGGAGGCAGAGGUGGAGGGCUCAGCGGAGGCGCCAAAGGCCGGAACAGCCGUCGGGGCCCUCGCGACUCCAGGAGCGGUGAUGAGUGUCCGCCCGACCACCCGCGGCGCCCAAGGAGCGCCAAGCUCCUAGAAGAGCGCUGCGCCCCGGGCAAGGUAUGUGCUUGUUCUUGAUUUCUCUUUAAUUUUUGUUUUUCUCUUUCUUCUUAUCUUUGUCCUCCUUCUGCCAGCCGGAAGUAGAAGAUGGCAUCGGUGGGGCUGGUGCCCCUGAAAGCCGUUAAGAGGGGGGCACAAUCGACCCCUAGGUCGGCAAGGCCUAGGUCGCCGCCCCCCUUGAAUCGAAAAUAAAGAGAACCCCCAAGAGGGGAUGGGGGAGGAGUCGAGGGAGAAGACGUCGUACCCCCAGACGAAGGAGGUGGAUGCGCCAAGGUCCCAAGAGCCGGAGGAGACGAUCCUGGCUCUUGGGGCCGUUCCCCCAUCUGGAGAUGUCGACCUAGGGGGCGCGUCCAGGCCUAGGCAGACCGAGGGGAGACAUGCCGAGAUGGCCCUUAGCACGGUGCCCCCAGCAAGGCCCCAUGGAAAUGGCCUGGCCCAACCAGAGGCCCCCGCGAGAGAAGGAGGGGACGUCACGCCCUGGGGCAAGGCCCUUGUGAUCUGGCCCGACCUCGAAGAUCCCGAGGGGAGGGCCAGGUUUGUCCUGGAUGACCCGUCAGAGGCUUACCUCUGGCAAGGUCUUGAGGAAUGCGGGCGCGCUAAUGUCAAGGCGAUCAAUCGAGUCCGAGCUCGUGAGUUGAGACAUGUACAAGCUUGCCUAGGUAAGAUCACCUCCCCUUUUUCCGAGGCGUAUUUUAUUUAUAUCUUUCCAUUGAUCUUAUGUGUGGUACUCUAUCUUGUAGGCGCUCAAGGCUCUGGCAGAAGUGCUCUGGGCUUGAGACCAAGGCUCAGGAAGCUUGGGAAAAGGUCGCCCCUCUGGAGAAGAGGGUUAGCGACCUUGUCUUGGAAUCUCAAGAGCGGAACACUGCCACCGAGAGAUACAAGGGCGAAGUCACACAGGUGGAGACCUUGCUCACCCAGAGGGACCUUGCCCUUAACCAGGCCCGGGACGAACUUACCGAGGCUCAAGGCUAGGUGUCUCUUUGGCAGGGGCGUGUAGAAGAGAAUCAGAAGCGGGCUGAAGGUAAAAGUCGUAACCUUACCUUUGUUAUUGGUGUAUAGGUUCUAUUGCUUACUUUUUCCUUUUUUUACCGCAGAGCUGGAGAGGAAGGUGGUCGAGGCAUCUUCUGUGACGGACGCCCUGAAGAAGUCUCUCGAUGCCGAGGUCUCGGAAUGUUCAGCAUUGGAAGCUGUGGUCACCUCGGCUUGCGAGGGACUUGGGGUAAGGCAGACGCAUCAGGGUCCUCUCUACGGGGUCGCAUCGAGACUUUGUACUCCUAGGACGGGGAGAGGCAGGCGCAUCGGGGUCCUCUCUGUGGGGCCGUGUCAUGCUGGGGUGAAGAAAGCCCUGGCCAUGGUGAGCUCUCACUACGUUGGCAUUGACUUGUCGGCGGUCAGUGAGGGGUACGUCGUUCCCGACGAUGAGGCGGAGGCCUAGGAGGAAGUGUAGAAACUCGCCGACGCUGCGGAGGCACCAGGAGAUGCCCUGGCCACCUUCUUUGACGCCAAAGUGGAGCUUCCCCCCCUCGGUGUGCAGGAUGCUAGACAGUCAGGGAAAUGAGGCCCUUGUAUUAGUUAGUUUAUUUUGUGAACAUCAGAGGCCAAUGGGCUCCCACUUUUGUAAACUUAAUUUUUAUAUGAAUGUUUUCUUUUUAGAAAUUCCUUGUGUUUCUCUUUUUCCCUAGGGCUGACCCAGCCUCGGCAGCGUGAGGUUGGGUGAGCCACCGAAGGUCAGAGCUUUUUAGUGGGGCGUCCCAAGCCUAAGUCCCUUUCCCUUUCUUAGUGUUCUAAAAUCCGGGCAGACUUAUCUCCUGGUCCUAAGGAGUGAGAAGAAAGUGUCCUAGCCCGUGGGUGUGGAUCUACUUCCAAGCUCGUUCCUCUUAAGACUUAGGUGAUUAAUUUGCGGUUCUUAGUCUCUUUAAGAAAGAGAAAAAGAUCUUGGGUUGGGGAGUUCCAAAUUAAGCGAAAAAUUUAGGGUCAUCACAGGGGGUUCCCCCCGUGUAGCCCCCUAGGGAGGUUCGGACUCUGCAGGGCAGAGCCGAGGCUCACUCUCUAAAAAGAAACAGACAUAUAAUUUAUAUCUUUUAUUAUUUCUCCAAGGUAAAGUUGUUGAUGCAAAAGAUGAUCUGCAAACACAAAGGGCUAAUACCCGAUUCAAACGUUAAGGCGUGCCAGCCGAUUUGACCUUACUAUCGGCAAAGGUGAUAACUUGAAUACUUUGGUCCCGACAACAGCGAUGCGCCCAGAUGCCACGGCCAAGAGGUAUUCACGCGGAACUUGAGAAUACGCCGAGCUUAAGUCGAUGAACUCCGAAGAACUCGUAAUGAAAAGGAAAAAUAUGACGAAGUCGUCGAAAAGUAAGUACUGGAAUAUGAAUAAAAGCUUGUGUUUGAUUGAUUGAUAGAUUCAUGUCUUACAAGGCCCUUGGGUCUACAUUUAUACCCUGCUCAAAAGAGAUACAACCUGAUACGACUAGAACUCGAAUUCCAAAUUAAAUAGAAUCCGUAUACAAAACGAUUUAAAUAACUAAGGAAAAACAUAAAACUAUCCCCCCGUGACAACCUGGGACGCCACCUAGACCAAUCGGCAACCUUCAAGUCUUCCUUCCGCGUUAUCGGCAGACUCUCCAUCGUAGCCAUCGGCAAAGGUUAAUGCUAGCUAUCGGCAUAAACACAUCACCACCCAUGGACUUAGCCACAUCCAGCUGUCUCCUCAUCGGCAACCACCCUCAUCGGCAACUCUUCUGCAGACCAGUUACCAUUGCCCUAUCUUGCCGAUCUACACUCUACCGAUCCUGGGCACGUGUCCAAAAAUGGUGUCAACAAAAGUACAAGUGAUUUCUUUUACAAAAUUUUAAGGAUACAAGCGACGUAGCUAUUCUAUGUUCCAUGCGUUGUUGUAGACCUCUCCUUCCUCGUUGGCGAGCCUAUAUGUGCUGGGUCGGAGGACUUCGGCGAUGACGAAGGGUCCUUCCUAGGGAGGCAUGAGCUUGUGGCAGCCCUUGUUGCUUUGCCUGAGCCUCAGCACCAAGUCGCCGACUUGGAAGGCUCGGCCUCGGACUUGUCGAGCAUGGUAGCAUCGGAGGGCCUGCUGGUACUUGGCAGAAUGUAGGAGGGCUACAUCCCUGGCUUCGUCCAGCUAGUCCAGCGCAUCCUCUAGGAACGUCUUGUAGCUAUUCUGGUCAUAAGCUUGUACCCUUGGAGACCUGUACUCUAGGUCUAUGGGCAGUACAGCCUCAGACCCAUAGACCAUGAAGAACAGGGUGAAACCUGUGGCUCAGCUUCGAGAAGUCGUUAGACUCCACAUCACAGCCGGUAGCACUUUGAGCCACCUCUUUCUGAACUUGUUCAGCCGAUUAAAAAUUCUGGGCUUCAGUCCUUGGAGGAUCAUGCCAUUGGCACGUUCUACCUGACCAUUGGUCUUUGGAUGAGCCACUGCUGCCCAGUCCACACGUAUGUGGUGUCUAUCAAAGAAAUCUAGGAAUUUUCGCCCGGUGAACUGUGUGCCGUUAUCUGUGAUAAUGGAGUUGGGCACUCCAAAUCGGUGGAUAAUAUCUGUGAAGAACAACACUGCUUGUUUGGCCUUGAUUCUUGUGAUGGGUCGGACCUCAAUCCACUUGGAAAACUUGUCGAUCGCGACAAGCAUGUGGGUGAAGCCCUCAGGCGCUUUCUGUAGAGGCCCGACGAGGUCGAGGCCCCAGACAGCAAAGGGCCAUGUGAUGGGGAUCAUCUAUAGAGCCCGAGCCGGGAGGUGGAUCUGCCGAGCGUAGAACUGGCAUCCCUUACAGGUUCGAACGAUUUGAGUGGCGUCUGCCACAGCUGUGGGCCAGUACAAACCUUGUCGGAAGGCAUUUCCUACAAGCGUUCAAGGCACCGCAUGGUGGUCGCAAGCCCCCGAGUGUAUCUCCUGAAGGAGUUUUAUCCCUUCGUGACGGGUGAUGCAGCGCAUGAGAACGCCCGAGGGGCUACGCUUGAACAUCUCGCCAUCGAGAAGUACAAAAGCCUUGGCAUGACGAGCUACUCGCCGCGCCUCGGCUUGGUAUGGAGGUAGAGUGACAUCGACGAGGCGUUGCAGGAGAGGAUAACGCUAGGAGUUUUAUCUCUUCCUGACUGGUGAUGCAGCACAUGAGAACGCCCGAGGGGCUGCGCUUGUACAUCUCGCCAUCGAGAAGUACAAAAGCCUUGGCACGACGAGCUACUCGCCGCGCCUCGGCUUGGUCUGGAGGUAGAGUGCCAUCAACGAGGCAUUGCAGGAGACGAUAACGCCAAUCCAGCAAGUCAUCUGGGGCGGGUGCCUCGGACUCAAUGUCCAUAGCCUCUGGCUCGGGAGUCGCGGAGGGCUCGGAAUUCAGACCUGGGUCGGUCGAGGAACGAUCCGAGCCUCCACCUUCUUUGUAGUCAACGGAGGCCUUGUAGAGGUCACUGACAAAGACAUCCAGGGGGACUGUAGCCUCCUUGGAUGCCAUUUUUGCAAGUGCAUUGGCGGCCUCAUUGUAUUUUCUCAACACGUGGUUAAGCUCGAGGCUGUCGAAUUUUUCCUGCAGGCGCAGGACCGUCUUGUAGUACGCGUCCAUCUUGGGAUCAUGGCAACAAGACUCCUUCAUGACCUGGUCAAUGAUGAGCCUAGAGUCACCUCGGACAUCGAGCCGCUUGAUCCCAAGCUUGAUCACAAUGUGGAGACCAUUGAAAAGGGCCUCAUACUCCGCCACGUUAUUUGAGGCGGGGAAGUGGAGUCGGAUCGCGUAUCGCAUCCUUCCUCCGAGGGGUGAGAUGAAGACGAGGCCUGCGCCAGCCUCGGUUUUCAUCAGAGAACCGUCGAAGUACAAGGUCCAACACUCGGAUUGGAUCUCGGGUGGAGGGAGCUGAGUUCCCAUCCACUCAGCCACGAAAUCGGCCAAAACUUGGGAUUUUAUAGCCUUCCGAGGCUCGUAGGUGAUUCCGUCACCCAUGAGUUCUAUAGCCCACUUAGCAAUUCUGCCAUUAGCCUCUCGGUUUUGGAUCACCUCUCCUAAAGGAAAAGAUGAGACCACCUAGAUGGGAUGAGACUCAAAGUAAUGGCGGAGCUUGCGUCGAGCUAGGACUACCGUAUAGAGUAGUUUUUGAAUUUGGGGAUAUCGGGUCUUAGUGUCGGAGAGUACUUCGCUGACGAAGUACACCGGUCUUUGGACUGGUAGGGCAUGCCCCUCUUCCUCUCGACCAUGAUAGCUGCACUGGCCAAUUGGUCAGUGGCUGCAACAUAAAGGAGGAGUGGUUCCCCUUCGGUGGGGGGCACCAAGAUGGGAGGGUUGGUGAGCAAAGCCUUGAGUCUGUCAAUGGCUUCCUAGGCCUCGGUGGUCCUGAAAAAGUGCUCAGAUUUUCUAAAUAACCUAUACAGAGGCAACCCUUUCUCCCUGAGGUGGGAGAUGAAACGGCUAAGGGACGCAAGGCAUCCCAUGACUCUCUGUACCCCUUUUAGGUUACAGAUUGGGCCCAUGUUAGCUAUGGCUGAGACCUUCUCUGGGUUGGCCUUGAUCCCCCGCUCAGAGACAACGAACCGAGGAGCAUGCCUCGGGGGACCCCAAAAAUGCAUUUCUCGGGGUUCGGUCUGAUUCCCUCAGCCCUGAGGCACCGGAAUGUUUCAUCUAGGUUCACCAUAAGGCCGCUUGUCUUCCUAGAUUUGACCAAGAUGUCAUCUACGUAAGCCUCUACUGUUUUGCCUAUGAGGUCUCCGAAGACCUGGAGCAUACAUCGUUGGUAUGUAGCCCCCGCGUUCUUAAGGCCGAACGGCAUGGUGACGUAGCAAAACAUUCCAAAAGGGGUGAUGAAAGAGGUUGCGAGCUGGUCGGACUCUUUCAUCUUGAUUUGGCGGUACCCGGAGUAUGCAUCAAGAAAAGACAAAGUUUCACAUCUCGCCGUAGAGUCAACUAUUUGGUCAAUACGAGGCAAUGGAAAAGGAUUCUUAGGACAUGCUUUAUUUAUACUAGUAUAGUCUACACACAUCCUCCAUUUCCCAUUUUUCUUUUUGACUAAGCGUUAGCUAACCACUUGGGAUGGAAUACCUCCUUGAUGGACCCAGCCGCCAGCAGCUUCUGGAUCUCCUCCCUAAUGGCCCGAUGCUUUUCCUCGUCGAAUCGGCGUAGGCGCUGCUUCAUGGGCUUGGAGCUGGCUCGGAUGUCGAAGGAGUGCUCGCCGACUUCCCCCGGUAUGCCUGGCAUGUCCGAGGGACUCCACACAAAUACGUCAGCGUUUGCGCAGAGAAAGUCGACGAGCACUGCUUCCUAUUUGGGGUCGAGGCUCGAGCUGAUCCUCAAUGCCUUGCCUUUGAAGGCCUUGGGGUCGAGGAAGAUGAGCUUGGUCUCCUCCACCGACUCGAAGCUCCCGGCAUGAUGUUUGGGGUCAGGGAUGUCCUGAUCGACGUCGUCGAGGAUGGUGAUGAUGGAUAGUGACUCGGCUAGAGCCUCGGCCUACUCAAUGCACUCUACGUCGCAUUGGUAGGCAUGCUAGCUUGUCGUGCUGAUGGUGAUGAUGCCAUUUGGGCCUGGCAUCUUGAGCUUGAGGUAGGUGUAGUUGAGGAUGGCUAUGAACUUGGCGUAGCAUGGUCUCCCCAGAAUCACGUGGUAGAUCCCGUGGAACCCGACCACGUCAAAAGUAAGGACCUGCCGCCUGAAGUUGUCGGGAGUCCCAAAGCAGAUGGGCAGAUCGAUCUGCCAGAGAGGAUGGGCUCGGUGCCCUGGCGCCACUCCAAGGAAUGGCAAUGCAUCAUUGCUUAGCCGAGACUUAUUGAUCCCCAUGAGGGCUAUGGUCUCGGCGUAAAGAAUAUUGUGGCUGCUGCCUCCGUCCAUCAACACCUUGGAGAGGCAGGUCUCGGUGAUGAUGGGGUCGACGAUGAGUGGAUAACUCCUGGGAUUCAGGAUCCGAUCCGGGUGAUCCUGUCGAUCGAAAGUGAUGGCGCUCUCCGACCACUUGAGGCAUGAGGGCGCGGUUGUGCUAACCGUGCAGACCUCUCGGAGCUCGCGCUUCCUUUGACUCGUGGUGAGGUGAGCCGCGUGUCCCCCAAAGAUCAAGAGGCAGUUCUUGACUUUGGGGAAGCCUUCCCCUUCGUCGUCGUUGUCCUUGGGGGGGCUCUUCUGCGUCUUCUUUGGUCGUAAUGCCGGUGUAGUAUCGACGCAGGACGGUGCACUCCUCGAGGGUGUGUUUGCUGGGACCCCUAUGAUAGGGGUAUGGCUUCUUCAACAUUUCGUUGAAGAGCCCGGGGCCAGCAAGAGCCCGCUUCGGGUUCUUGCGAUCUGCCGCGGCGACCAAGUUGUCGUCGGACUGACCCUGCUUCCCCUUGCGACCCUUUUUCUUCUUCUUAGGGUCUUGGGAGCCUGAGGCAUCAGUGGCCUCGGCCUUCUGCUUCCCCUUGGUGUUGCCGUCAGAGAAGAUCGCACCAACUACCUCUUCACCCGAGGCGAAGUUGGUGGCAAUAUCGAGCAGCUGGCUAGUGCUCGUGGGGGUCUUGCGCCCGAGCUCGUGUACCAGCUCCUUACAGGUGGUGCCAGCGAUGAAGGCUCCAAUGACGUCGGAGUCCGUGAUGUUAGGGAGCUCGGUGCACUGCUUGGAGAAUCACCAGAUGAAAUCUCGAAGAGAUUCAUUAGGCUUCUACCGAUAGCUCCUGAGAUCCCAUGAGUUCCCAGGGUGCACAUAUGUGCCCUGGAAGUUCCCGACAAAGAUCUUACCAGGUUGGCCCAGUCGUGGAUCAGACGCUCAGGAAGGUGCUCGAGCCACGCCCUGGCUGAAUCUGCCAGGUGUAGUGGCAGCUUGUAGAUGAUGAGCAGAUCAUCCUCCGCUCUGCCUAACUAGCAUGCUAGGAACUAGUCCGCUAGCCAGAGCUCAAGGUUUGUCUCCCCUGAGUACUUGGUGAGGUUUGCUGGCUGUUGGAACCAGGCUUGGAAUUUGGCCCUGCGGAUGGCCUCGCUGAAAACGCAGGGCCCUGGAGGCUCAGGCGAUGUGCUGCGGUCGUGCUCGGGGUCAUACCUUCCGCCUCAGCACAGACGGUAGCGUUGAGACUCGGCCUCGUCCCUGUCACGACGUCUGGCCUCAAGGGUGGCCCGGGCAUCCACAUUGGUCCCCAUGCCCUCAUGGACGGAUGGGGCCUUAGCGCCCCCUUGCGGGUUAGGGGGCACCAGGCCUUGCACGGUUGGUGCCUUGUUGGGAGGGGGUUGAUCCCCGAGGCGUCUUGCCCUUGAGUCGUGGGACUGUGAUGUAGAGCUUUCCGCAUUUUGUACCACGGCUUGGUCCAGGAGGCCAUGAAGCCCCUGGCGCACCCUUCUUCCCUCAGGAGUCGAUGGCUCAGGCAUCGCUCAGAGGAGUAGCGCAGCAGCCAUUACGUUUUGGCCACAUCCCCGUCCCCCCGAGUGGACUGGUCUCGCUCUAGGGUCUCGCGCAACUGUCGGAGACGCACACGUUCCUCUUCGAGCCUGGCCUCCAGCUCAUUGUGCUGCUCGAGGUGAGGUCGACAAACCUCUGCUAGAGCUGACGCGGCUUUGUGUGCUCCAGGGUGACUUCUAGGGUGUCGGUGCAAAAGUAAAUCUGCAAACACAAAGGGCUAAUACCCGAUUCAAACGUUAAGGCGUGCCAGCCGAUUUGACCUUACUAUCGGCAAAGGUGAUAACUUGAAUACUUUGGUCCCGACAACAGCGAUGCGCCCGGAUGUCACGGCCAAGAGGUAUUCACGCGGAACUCGAGAAUACGCCGAGCUUAAGUCGACGAACUCCUAAGAACUCGUAAUGAAAAGGAAAAUAUGACGAAGUCGUCGAAAAAGUAGAUGCUAGAAUAUGAGUAAAAACUUGUGUUUGAUUGAUUGAUAGAUAUCUCGAUUACAAGGCCCUAGGGUCUACAUUUAUACCCUGCUCAAAGAGCUACAAUCAAACAUGACUAGGACUCGAAUUCCAAAUUGAACGGAAUCCAUAUACAAAACGAAUUUAAAUAUCUAUGGAAAACAUAAAACUAUCCUCCCGUGACAAACCGGGACACCACUGUAGAUCAAUCGGCAACCCUCACGUUCUCCUUCCGAGUCAUCAGUAGACUUCUCAUCAUAGCCAUCGGCAAAGACUAACGCUGACUAUCGGCACGAACGCGUCACCACUUCUGGACUUAGUCACAUUCAGCUGUCUCUUCAUCGGCAACCACCCUCAUCGGCAACUCCCCUGCAGACCAGUUACUGUUGCCCCAUCUUGUCGAUCUAUACUUUACCGAUCCCUGGGUACGUGUCCAAAAAUGGUGUCAACACAUGCCCCCCAAUUUCGGAGUAUGAAAUCAUUAAUGCUCCAAAAUUCUCUGCAAUAAUGAUGCCUUUCCGCAAUUAAUUCCCCCAAUUUGGUAACCGACCGUUUAAAUCUGAACAACCUUGGCCCGAUUAUCCUGCAGGUUCCUCGAAUUCCUCAACCUUCCGAAACGGAUCUCUCCACUUCAUGCACCCAUUGGCAAUAUUACCGUUAGGAGGAACUGCCGAUGGACUGACCAAGAAAUCUUGCACAGUGGAAUAUCUCCAGAUCAAGACUGCUUCCUAUCAAAUCACCUGCGCAAUCCCUUGAUUAUCGUGCGAACAGUUACCAUAUCCACCUGAGUAUCCUCGGAUUUCAUGGAUAUGGCGAAGAGUCCAAUUUGCCCUUGCCCGUUUUGUCCUAUAAAUACUUCCUUCUCGGGUACUCCUUCUCCAUCACAUCAUUCUACAGCCCCAACUCUGCUUUCCUGGUGGCGGCACUAUUCGAGAGCUCCAAGAACUCCAACAAGAACUUCCUCCAACUACUCCCAAGUUUUCGAUCUUCUCCCCUGCGAGGAGAUGGCCAUCAACUUCGUCGUUCCUGAGAUCAGCGUACUACCCUUUUUUUGUACUUUUACUGUAUCCCAGUUCAUCCGCAAUCUUCCUUACCGAAUCCUUUUUUCUUUUUGUUCUCCUUUCGUUCCCAAAAAUUUCUAGGAUUUGGCUAACAAGAUCGUUAUUCCUACCGAUCAACCCCAUCUCCAAUGCCUUGGUCUACUAGGGAACUUGGAUCCCACCGAUCCUAUAAACGCAGAGACAAACAGAAUCCCUUUUAGAGCCGAGAAUUUUUCUCUAGAUCUAUGGAAAGACGCCUUCCGUUCCUGGCCCUGUCCUACCAAGGGAUGGAAGGAUUGGUUUCUGAGAGUCAGUAAUUCAAAUGAAGUCCAAUGGGGUGAACGGAAAUUAGAUCAGUGCAUUAGACUGUCUCUUGCCGAUAUGGAGAGAAAUGAGUCGCUACUGAUAGCUGCCUCAUACUUCUGGUCAGAUACACUUAAUGCUUUCGUGUUUGGCCAUGGCCCUGCUUCCCCUACACUUGCCGAUGUUCUCAUGCUCACCGGUUUAGACAUAUCCACUGCCGAUACCACCCACCUGUUCGACACCAAACCCAGUGCUAAGGUAGAAACCCGUGCUAUCGGUGGUUGGUCAGGGUAUAUUUAGAAGUACCGCCGAACAGGACCUGUCAAUAUAAAGGAAUAGACCACCUUCCUGAACAUGUGGUUAGAUAAGUUUGUAUUCUGUGGUCGAUCGGCAGGACCAACUUCACCUAUCGGCAGCAGAAAGGCUAGCUAAUGGUGGCCGAUUUCCUCUUGGCCGAUACCUGCUCGGCUCUGCUUAUCACCUCCUCCAUCAAGUAGCUCACAAACUACUGCUUGGUCAAUCCAUCGGCAACUUAGGGGGUCCCUGGUGGUUCAUUAAUAUGUGGCUUAGUCUUCACAUGCACAAGCGCCUUGAGUUUGACCUCUUUGCUCAGCGCUUCCCUAGAGAUAUAGCUGAAGAUUAUGAACUGGAUGAGGAAGAAUCGGCAACUCGUUCCCCUCUGAACUUUGGCAAAGCCGUCAUAGUUUUGCCUGGCACAGGCGGCAACGCAGACCAGGUCAGCCGAUUCUUCCAAACUCUGUAUGAGGGUUUGACCAGGGAACAGCGGGCAUGGAUGCCUUAUGAAGACCCAGACACCAGAUUCCCUCUGACUUUCCACCUCUUCAAUGAUGCUCUCAACAAGGAUCGUGAGGUGAUGAUGGCAAUUAUCACCCCAGAGCUAUACCGGUGAACUUCUUUGGCAGUGGGAAAACUUCUAACCUGACUUAUGAGUUCUACAAUCCAUCGGCAUUAGCUCGUCAACUAGCUUUCGGCCAACUGCCGAUUGUACUUUGCUACGCCGAUGUGAUAAAACCGAGAGAGAUUAUCACCAGCCAUCUGGAAUGGAUCAGGGUAGCCCAACUUCCACCAAACGCCGAUACAGAUGUUGAUCUAUCGGCUUGAAUCCCAGCUCUCUUCAUCACUCAGGCAUACAAACAGUGGUGGGAAGAAUAGAAAGAGCACCUGUUCUACAGAUCGGCUCUUACAUACUGUGGCAUGAUCGACCCUCCAUACAAAGUCCUCGAUACCACUGUAAGUACUUCCGAACCGAUGUUUCAAUCCUUUCAUUUUCACUUUCUAUCGGUAUCUUACUUCCUUGUUAUAUGCAGGUCGAUGACACACCCCCAUUGGUCAGCAGGAGUGGCAAGCCGAUUGAGCUCCUUCCAUCAGGCCCGAUCUCUUUGAUCGGCAACAAUGCUCCAACUCUAGCUGCUAUAAUGCAUCGGGGUGUGCGCCUCAAGAAGGUCACCACCAAACGAAUGAGAACAUCCCCAUCGGUAGCUGCUACUGCCCUGGCACAAGCCUUCAAGGUACAUUCUCUAAUUCUUUAUUCAUACCGAUCUCAUUCUUAUACAUAUCACACUUGUACUCAUAAACUUCUUAUCGUUGUAUCAGCACACCAGUACAUCGGCAAAGACCAGAAGUACGACUGCCGAUGCCCCCCAGUCUAGUCAACCGAAAAGAAAGGGUUCCAAGAUUACCAGAUCACAAGCAAAGCGUCAGAGAACAGCAACGCCUUCUCCUCCCCCAGUAUCUCCAAUCCCAGUAGAAUCAUCUCCCUCUUCUCCAGAAAUCCAAACACAGCAGAUUCCAUCUCCUCCUCAGUCACAAGAAGAACCCCAAGUGGAAGAGCUCCAGCCAGAGGUACCUCAGCCAGAAGAGAUACCGGCUGAUGUACACGAGCAGACCACCGAUCCAGCAAGCCUAAUCAUAGCAUCGGUAGUCUCCUCGAUCCAGACAAGCACUGCACCUCCUCAAGGUAAUAUACUUUCUAUUUACUGCCGAUGAACCUAUUUUCCCACUUUACUAAUCACUUCUGUCAAUCUUUCAGCUAACAUAGUUUCAUCGGCAAUCCCAGCCGAUCAGCCCGUGGUUCCAUCGGCGUCAUCCAGUCAGAGGCGAGAGAUGGCCCUGAAACAAGUAAGUUACCCAAUCUCUAUCUGUAUUAUUUAUCAGUACUUGAUCAUAGAAUAACUUAUUUUAUUUUCCUUUUCAGGAACAGGACUCUCCUGACAGCUUGUUCUCCUUUGCCAUCGACAUCUCUGAGGAUGAAGGCGAGGAGGCAAGUUCUUCUCGAGCUAUUGGAAUCUCAUCGGCAGAAAUCAGAGCAAAGUUAGAAGAAUUGUCGGCCCUUCUUCAUCAAGACACGGCCCAAUUGGUCGACGAUUCCGAUUCAGCCAAGGCCUUGUUCAAGACUCUCAGAGGCCAAAUUCCUGCCGAUGCCGAGGAGAUCCUCUUCAAGGAUGCUCACUUAGAAAGUCGGCAGCUUCAAUAUCAAUAGGCCGCUCAACGCCUUGCCGAUAGGGCUAAUCAUGCUCAGCUAUCAGAAGAGAUGAUAAAAGUGAAGCUCCUUGCCGAUGAAAAGCACAAGAACAUCGGCAUCUUGAAAUCCUCGGGGGAUGUAUUGAAGCACAAGAUUUCUGAGCUAUCGGCAAAGAGAGAGGCCCUAUUGACAGAACUCAAGCAGGUAGAAGAAAGCCAGCUUCCUGAAGCGAUCAAGCUUCUUGAACAAGAGCGAAAUGUCGAAGCUCGCAAAGCACUGCAGAUGAAGAAGAAGCUGAAGCCAGUGGAGGGCUCUACCGAUGACGACAUGAAGGAGAUAGAAGAAGCCAACCAGAUCCGUCUGCGCGCCAUAUCGACGAUCCAGGCUUUGUUAAACAUGUGAAUUCUUCAUCGGCGGCACAUUUGCUCUUUUCUUUUAAACACUCCUAAUAUUUUGGUCUAGCCGAUAGGACUGUUAUCGGCACCUUUUAAAACAUUAGGUCCGGCCCUAGAUACACUUUUGAUUCAGCCGAUAGGAAUGUUAUCGGCACUUAAACUUUCAUGCAUCAAGCCAUAUGCUGGGGUAAUAUCUCUUUAAAUAUUUGCCGUUCAAUGCCCUAGGAAAUUCAACUCCUUCGAGAGUUUCUAAGAUAUAGGUGUUGCCAGGAGCAGAUCGAUUUAUACGAUAGGGACCCUCCCAAUUGGGAGACCACUUCCCAAAUUUUGAACUUUUAGUCCCGAUCGGUAACAUUAGUUUCCACACUAAGUCUCCAUCGGCAAACUCCUUAGCCUUUACCUUCUUAUCGUACCAUCUGGCAACUCUCUUCUUAUUUUCUUCUAUACUUAUCAAAGCCCUUAGCUGAUGCCCUGCUAGAUCAUCCAACUCGUCUGUCAUCAAAGUAGUAUAAUCAUCGGCAGUCAAUUGAUCUUGAAAAGAUAGUCGCCUAGACCCAGUCUUAAUUUCCCAAGGUAACAUUGCAUCAUGUCCAUACACCAACUGAUAAGGUGAAACUUUGGUCGACCCAUGACAAGCCAUCCGAUAUGACCAUAAAGCUUCAUUCAACAAUGUAUGCCACCUCCUAGGAUUUUCUUCAAUCUUUCGUUUAAUAAGCUUGAUAAUUCCUUUGUUAGAUGCUUCGCCCUGCCCAUUAGCUUGAGCAUAAUAAGGAGAAGAAUUUAAUACUUUAAUUCCCAUACCGAUUGCAAACUCAUCAAACUCCCCUGAUGUAAACAUAGUACCCUGAUCGGUAGUAAUUGUCUGAGGAAUUCCAAAUCAGUAAAUGAUAUGCUCCUUCACAAAAUCAAUCAUAUUGGCCGAUGUAACUUUCUUCAAAGGAAUAGCUUCAACCCAUUUGGUGAAAUAAUCGGUGGCAACCAAGAUAAACUUAUGUCCUUUGCUGGAUGGCGGAUAAAUCUGGUCGAUCAAGUCAAUAGCCCAUCCUCGGAACGACCAAGGUUUGAUGAUAGGAUUCAUGGCCGAUGCGGGUGCUCUUUGAACAUUGCCAAAUUUCUGACAUCCUUGACACCCCUUGAAAUAUUUAAAGCAAUCUUCAAGUAUGGUUGGCCAAAAAUACCCAUCCUCCUAAUCAUCCACUUCAUCUUAAAAGCCGACUGAUGUGCUCCACAUACUCCUUCAUGGAUUUCUCCCAUUAAACUUUUAGCUUCAUCAUCACCUAAGCACCUGAGAAGAAUCCCAUCAAUAGUUCGAUAAUAUAAUUCAUCUUCAAGGAGCACAUACUUGGUGGCUUGAAACCGAACACGUCUCUCAACUUUCUUGGAUGGAUCCUUUAAAUAAUCAAUGAUUUCUUUUCUCCAAUCAUCGGCACUGAUUGCCGAUAUUGCGUUUAACAUGGGUUGAUAUCCCAACGCAUGCUGAGCCAACCGAUUGGCCUCUUCAUUAUGCAACCGAGGAACGUGCUCUAAUCGGAAAUCCUUGAAUUCCUUUAACAGUUGCGUACUUUUUCAUAGUAAGUUAUCAAGACCUUGCUUUGGCAUUCGUAACUUCCAGCCAAUUGAUUUAUAACCAACAUAGAAUCUCCAAAGAUUUCAACAGCAUCAGCACGAACCUCUUUUAACAACUCCAACCCCUUAAUUAAAGCUUGAUAUUCAGCUUGAUUAUUUGUCGACGUGGCAACAGUCGGCAAGGAGAACUCAUAUUUCCUUCCCUAAGGGGAAAUUAGCACUAUGCUGAUUCCUGCCCCCCGAUCACAUGUGGAUCCAUCAAAGAAGAGCGUCCACGGUACAAUUUCCAAAGCCUCCACUGCACCGCAAUGUUGAGUCACAAAAUCGGCCAUAAUAUGUCCUUUAACCGCUUUAGCCGAUUCGUAACGCAGAUCGAAUUCCGACAAUGCCAAAAUCCACUUACCGAUCCUACCACUCAUGAUCGGCAUAGACAGCAUAUAUCGGACCACGUCAUCUUUGCAUAUAAUAUUGCAUUCGGCCGAUAGUAAAUAGUGCCUCAAUUUAGUACAUGAGAAAUAUAGGCACAAACAUAACUUUUCAAUGGCCGAAUACCUGGUCUCAGCAUCAACCAAUCUCCUGCUUAAAUAGUAAAUCACACAUUCCUUCCCUUCAAAUUCUUGAAUUAAAGCCGAACUGAUGACCAUCCCAUCGGUAGACAAAUAUAACCUGAAGGGCUUUCCUUGCUGAGGUGGAAUCAGAACUGGAGGAUUUACCAAAUAAUUCUUGAUUUCAUCUAAAGCCAACUGUUGCUCCUUUCCCCAUACGAACUCUUGAUCGGCUUUCAAUCUAAGUAAAGGACUGAAAGCAUGAAUUUUACCAGACAAGUUAGAUAUAAAUCUCUUGAUAAAAUUUACCUUGCCGAUCAAGGACUGGAGCUCAGUUUUGUUGGUAGGAGCAACUAUUUUAUUGAUAGCAUCAAUGGAUCUCCUACUAACUUCAAUCCCCCUUUGAUGCACCAUGAAACCAAGGAAUUGUCCUGCCGAUACGCCAAAUGCACACUUGUUAGGGUUCAUCUUCAAACCAUGCUUCCUUGUGCAUUCUAACACCUUUCGCAAAUCGGCAAGAUGCUUUGUGAAGUCUCCAGACUUAACCACCACAUCAUCAAUAUAAAUUUCCACCAGCUUGCCGAUGAACUCAUGAAAUAUAAAAUUCAUAGCCCUCUGAUAAGUAGCACCAGCAUUUUUCAAACCAAAGGUCAUGACUAUCCAUUCAAACAACCCAACAUGACCAGGAAAUCUAAAUGCAGUCUUUGGAAUAUCUUCUUCAGCCAUGAAUACCUGAUUAUACCAUGCAUUGCCAUCCAUAAAGCUAAUGAUCCAAUGCCCAGCCGCAGCAUCAACUAGCAGAUCGGCAACUGGCAUUGGGUAGCCAUCCAUCGGUGUAGCUUUAUUAAGAUUCCUGAAAUCAAUGCAAACCCGAAGCUUCCCAUUUUUGUUAUAGACUGGAACAACAUUGGAAAUCCACUCGGUAUACCGACAUUGUCGAAUAAAUUUAGCUUCGAUGAGUUUGGUUAUUUCGGCCUUAAUAUCUGGAAGAAUAUUAGGAUUACAUCGGCGAGCUGGCUGUUGAUGUGGCCGAAAUCCAGACUUGAUGGGUAACCGAUGUUCAACAAUCGAUCGGUCCAAACCAGGCAUCUCAGUAUAAUCCCAAGCAAAGCAAUCUUUAUAUUCCUUUAACAAAUCGGUUAACUACUGCUUACACUCAGGAUUUAACUUAGCACUAAUAAAAGUAGGCCUGGGCUUAUCACCACUACCUAUAUCUACUUCUACCAAAUCAUCGGCCGAUGUGAAUCCCUGGCCUAAUUUUCCAUCAUCGGUGAAUCUAUCCAUUAGAACUCCUCGUCAGAACCGACUGCUUCGAUCGGUGGAAUUUCAUAAUCGGCAACUUUGAGGAACUCCUUCUCCCAAACUUCUCCUGAGAUACACCUAGUUCUUUCAUAAGUGUCCGCCUCUGUCGAUGCAAUGACAUAAGAAGAAUCGCUCGGGACAAUCUCAAUCUUGUCACCUACCCACUGGACCAAGCACUGGUGCAUUGUAGAUGGGAUGCAACAAUUGGCAUGAAUCCAAUCUCUCCCUAGAAGCAAGUUAUAAGCACCUUUUUCCGCUGAUCACGAAGAAAGUUGUCGGCAAGGUUUUGCUGCCGAUGGUCAACUCGACGCAUAUUGCCCCCUUAACUGAAGACACGUUUCCCUCGAAGUCCUUUAACAUCAUAUCGGUCUUGGUCAAAUCUUGUCCCCUUUUCCAAGCUUCCGAUAUACUGCAUACGGCAUGAUGUUGAUAGCGGCUCCACCAUCAAUUAAUAUCUUGGUCAUUGGCUGACCAUCAACCCUUACUUUGACAAACAGGGCUUUAAGAUGCUGCCUUUCAUUGUCGGCAGGCUUUUCAAAGAUAGCCGUCAUCGGAUCCAGAGCCAACUGAGCUAUCUGGUCGGAAAACUCCAACUCCUCAUCAUCGCUGGAUGGCGCAAGGAAUUCCACCGGCAACAUAAAUACCAUAUUAACUUCUGCCGAUGGCCCUUUCCCCUUAGUAUCUGAUUGUUGCUGAUCCCCAGAUUGGCCAGAGUUCUCGCCCUUGCUUAGCUCUUCUCGUCUUUCGCGCUGCAGACUCUUUUUCUUUGUUUUAGUCAACCCCUCUGGACACCAUGGGGGAAGUGGUGACUGCCUUGCCGAUGGACGACAAUGUUCCCUUGACUCCAUCCGAUAGUGUUAGCGUCCCUGCAAAAUAUGAACUCAUCAGGAACCUGUGCAUUAGCCAUCUCCUCAAGCUCUUCCUGAUUCCUAGAAAAUAUUCAACACGAUCACCAAGUCUAUCGUGCACACUGAGUCUGCCCCCCAGCUGAUCAUGAACGGACGCUCUCCCCUAAUCGGCCCAUUAAAUCGCCGAUCAUCAUCGUGAUAGCGUCGAUCGGAUCUGUCAUACCGAUUAUAACCAUUGCAUUCAGGGCAAUCUCUAACAGUGGGCAACUUGAUGUUCUGCUCCCAGCAAUGGAUAAAGAAUGGGUAGUUCCAGUGAUCUCUAUGCCGAUUCCACUCCUGUCGGCGUCUUUCUUCUUCCCAAUGAUAGUCUUCUUGUUGACGCCGAUACCGAUCCUCACGUUGAUGCCAAGUCUCCUGAGGCCUCCUGUGAGUUAUCACGAUACCAGAUCGGGGAGGCCUUCCUGAGUUAAUUCCCUCUUGGAUCAAGCCUUUUCCUUUGGCAUCGGCAACAGUAAUUUGAUGCUGAGGAUCUACCGAUGCACUCCUUUCGGUUGCUUCCGACGUCAAGACCUUGGUUUUUACCUUAGUAUCCAACAUAUUUGUUGGGAAAGGAUGUUGAUCGAUCUUCAUCGGCUUCUGAGCUUUGGAACUGUCAAAUUUGAUUCUUCCAGAUUCAAUAGCCGAUUGCAGCUGUUGUCUAAAAACCUUGCAUUCAUUGGUGCUGUGAGAAGUUGCAUUGUGCCACUUGUAGUAUUUCAUCUUCUUUAAUUCUUCAGCCGAUGGGAUUACAUGAUUGGGUGACAAUUUGAUCUGACCUUCCUGAAGUAAAAAGUCAAAUGCGAACUUCUCUGGCUCUUUAUGCCCAAAAGGACAAGACAUCGGCUUCUUGUUCUUCACCCACUCUGCCAAGCCGAUGACCGGCUCUUCAUCAAAAUCUGAGCUUGCUGCCUCGUCAACAAAUGACACCUUUUUGUUCCAAGCUCUCUUGGGUUCAAAGGGUUUGAUAUCCUGGUUGGAAAUCCUCUGGACCAAGUGACUCGGGCUCUCGAACUCUUGAGAAGCAUAUUUGUCCCUGAUAUGUGGCAACAAACCCUGGAAAGCCAAAUUGGCUAGCUGCCGAUCGUCCAAAAUCAGACUAUAGCAUUUGUUCUUGACUUCCCGCAACCUCUGCACAAAGCUUUCAACUGAUUCAUCAUUGCGUUGCUUCAAUCUGACCAAAUCGGUAAUCUUCUUUUCAUGGACUCCAGAAAAAAAGUACUUGUGGAACUGCUUCUCCAGAUCGGCUCAAGUAAUCACUGAGUUAGGAGGUAACGAAAUAAACCAGGUGAAAGCCGAUCCAGAUAAAGAUGAUGAAAACAAUCGAACCCUCAAUUCAUCCCUGUUAGCAGCUUCCCCACAUUGGAUGAUGAACCUGUUGACAUGCUCCAUGGUUGACGUAUCAUCCUGUCCAGAAAAUUUAGUGAAAUCUGGUACCUUGUACCGAUUUGGAAGUGGAAUCAAAUCGUAUGCACGAGGAUACGGUGUGUGAUAAGAGUAAGUGUUGACUUUGGGUUUUAUCCCAAAUUGGUCUCUCAUUACUUCAGCAAUCUUAUCGGCCCAAUAAGCAUCGGCAUCUUGCCGAUGAGGUGGUUGCGGAUCUGGCACUUGCUGAUACACUUCCACGUGUCUAUGCGGUGCACAAUCUGCAUGGAACAUUGGGUUAAUCAUUUGACCACCAAUCUGCUAACCACCAAUCUGUUGUCCAAGAUUCAUCGGCUGAUUAACCAUCCCUUGAUUAUGGAACCCAGGUUGGAUCUGGCCUUGUUGAAACCCUGUAGCCUGAUGAUUCUGUUGGGGCAUUUGUGGAAAGACUUGCUGCCCAGGCCAUCCAUUAUUAGCAUUCAUCGGCAUAGGUCCUGCCGAUGACUGGUAAUUGGGCAUCAUCAUUGAAUUGACAUACCCUGGCUGAGUCAUAAACCUCUUUUGCGUCGGCAUUGAAUCUGCCGAUGCAUUAGGCAUCUGGAAUGUUGGAGCUUGAGAAUUCCCAGUGUAAGGUCUAGCAGUAGUAGUUGUAGUAUACUGGGGACUCUGAUUCAUCGGCAUAUCUGGAGGCGCCGAUGCCAUAGGAGCCUUGCCUCUCAUAUCAGCCAUUUGAGAUGUUCCAGGUGUCUUCAACAUCAUCUCUGGGGGCAUACCAUAACCCCACCAGUUGGGAGGAACCGAUCCCGACAUUGCCGAUGCCAACAGAUCUGUGGCAAGCUUGAUUUGCUCAUCUGAAGUUGAUGGAUUGGUUGUCAUCGGCAUAGAUUGCACAUCGGUGUGUCCUAAUGUGCUUGGUGGAGCAGUAGUUUCUGUGCCCGCAGCGGCUGUUGUAGCCAAUGGAGCUGUGACAACUGGUGACCCCGGCUGAUGAUGAGAAGGACCCACAUAAUUUGGUGGCAAUUGUCCUUCUUUGAAAGUUCUAGCCACGGCGUUGAAAACCGUAUUGGACAGCACACCGGCUUGAUUGAUCAAGGCACGGUUAAUAGCACUAUCAACCAUGUCUUGAAGUUUACCAGGAUUGGCUUCAAAAGUAAUCUGCCGAGGCAUCGACAGUGCUUUCUUCUGGAUCACCUCGCCACUCCUGUUUAUGUUGAAGGAUUUCAAACAUUGCUGCUUGUAAUCCUCCAUGGCUUUUGCAAUAGCUUGCUUCUGCUCAUCUUUGAGAUUAGCUUCCGUCACGGGGAUGACAUUAUCCAAGUCGAAAUCGCUAGUCACCAUGUCGAUCUUGAUCUUGAAUCUUAUCCCAUCGAGCGUGCCAAAAGAUGUGUUGGUGCAAAAGUAAAUCUGCAAACACAAAGGGCUAAUACCCGAUUCAAACGUUAAGGCGUGCCAGCCGAUUUGACCUUACUAUCGGCAAAGGUGAUAACUCGAGUACUUUGGUCCCGACAACAGCGAUGCGCCCGGAUGUCACGGGCAAGAGGUAUUCACACGGAACUCGAGAAUACGCUGAGCUUAAGUCGACGAACUCCUAAGAACUCGUAAUGAAAAGGAAAAUAUGGCGAAGUCGUCGAAAAAGUAGAUGCUGGAAUAUGAGUAAAAACUUGUGUUUGAUUGAUUGAUAGAUAUCUCAUUACAAGGCCCUAGGGUCUACAUUUAUACCCUGCUCAAAGAGCUACAAUCAGACAUGACUAGGACUCGAAUUCCAAAUUGAACGGAAUCCGUAUACAAAACGAAUUUAAAUAUCUAUGGAAAACAUAAAACUAUCCUCCCGUGACAAACCGGGACACCACCGUAGAUCAAUCGGCAACCCUCACGUUCUCCUUCCGAGUCAUCAGCAGACUUCUCAUCAUAGACAUUGGCAAAGACUAACGCUGACCAUCGGCACGAAUGCGUCACCACUUCUGGACUUAGUCACAUUCAGCUGUCUCUUCAUCGGCAACCACCCUCAUCGGCAACUCCCCGGCAGACCAGUUACUGUUGCCCCAUCUUGCCGAUCUAUACUUUACCGAUCCCUGGGUACGUGUCCAAAAACGGUGUCAACCCAGGGGUUGCGUUCGGAGGGGGAGUUGCGUUCUACCGCUCAGAGGGUCCUACGCCACCUUGGGCAUCAGGGGCUUCUCCCUCAACCUCGAGGUUUGUUGACAGUCUUUAAUGCUCACAUUUAACCAUCAACUAAUCAUGGAAAAGGACCUAUAUGCAACCAACAUCUAAAAUUAGGGUUUCAUCUGACAGAAUUCCACGAGUUUUGGUGUUUGUCUAUUUCUGUAGGGGGUUAUCAGGAAAUAUGGAGGAAAGGUCCAAACGUCGGGUUUACAUAGAGAUAUUAACGUGCCGCGCAAUUUUUUAUCAUCUAGAAGACUCUAGAAGCCACGGGAACGAAGCGGAGGCAGAACGGGGCAUGGCCCAGGGCACCCGCCCUAAGGACCAGGGCGCCCGCCCUCCUGUAGUGCCCAAUCAGGGUCAACUUCGUGGAUCGUGCUCCACUGACCUAAGGGAUCAAGGAAAACCGUGCGAUUAAUGUCGGUUUGAUCCGACGGCCCAGAUUCACUUGAGGGGACUAUAUAAGCAGACCCCCUACCCCCUGGAGAACAUACCUCUUCUACAGAAUCAAAGCUAGGGUUUCAAUUAUUCAUCCAAGUAGAGAGGAUCCCUCUAGUUCAUCUAGUUCUAGUUCUAGUUCCUCUAGUUCUAGUUAGUUCUAGUUGUAAUCUAGAAAAUAGAGAAAGAGAAGAGGAGAGCGGAGGAGGAGCCGGAUCUGUCGGAUCUUCCUCAACAAUGUACUUUUGCAGCAACUGGUUCGUUCUUCAUCGUUCUCUAGGUUCUUCAAUUCAUAAUUACUGAGUUUUUAAUUACUUUUAUUUACAUUCAAGUUAUUUAUUAGAUUCCCGCUUGCAUCAAGUGCUCUAGUCUUUGCAAUGCUAGAGUAGUAUUUAAUAGAUUAGACGUGGUGUUUAGUCUUGUAAUUACCUGGAAUUGCAUCCAAUCCUGCGGAUUGUUGUGGUAGCCCGAGGGUAGUGACAGCCCUAACGGUCGACGUAUUCCACCUUGUUCGGAUUGGUGUUUAUAGGACCGUAGUCAGAGCUUCCUAGCCCCCUUCUCAUCUCUUUCUGUGGUUAGUGUUCUGAUGUCCCAAAAUAAAUAAUCUUUGAAGUAAUUCUUGAUUCUUAGAUCAACUAGAGAACUCUCAGGAAACUUCCUCUCUUCCCACCAAAAAUAAUUAUAUAGUUAUCCUUGGGCGAUCUUGAAUCUUAAUUAGUACACUCACAUUCCCUGUGGAAAAUCGAUACUCUGGAAUACUCCAGGGUGAAGGCUACAUCGGUAUCCGUGCGCUUGCGGAUUUUUCUGUUUGCGUUUAAAAUACCCAACAAGGUUGAAGCACUCUCAUGACGGAUUGUAGCUGCCAUCAUCAGAGUCAGAGUAGCUGAGGCAAUAGUUGCUUGCCUCAAGGAAGCGCAUGAAAGUCUCCAGGACGCCAAAACCUGACAAGUUAGCGCCGGCCCAUUCGUCCUCUCCCAAGGUGGGAUCCUUGGGGUACGACGAAAUGGGUGGUGUGGCGAUAAGGUCCAGCGUAGACCUUAAGUGGUGCCCCAAAAGGUCCACGUAUGCACAUAGUGAAGUGCUUGCGGAAGAGGCAUAGGUGGCAGCUGCGCUCCUGAGCCCGAAAGGGAGCUCGAAAGACGCAACUGCGGGCUCUCCUGUCGUAGCUUUGGGCGAUGUGGGAGGGUGCUGAGAAGUCGAAGCCCCUAGGUCCCCAUUUUGAGGAGGAGGUGGUUGCCGCCCUUUGCCUUUUGACUGUGGCGGAACAGGGGGUCGUGAUGUCCCCCUGUUGGUCCGUGGAGCAGAGCUUGAUGCUCCAUGGGCCCUACCCCUGGUGCCACGUGGGCCAGAGGAAUGGGGAUCCGAUGAGGAAUGUGCGGGGGGAGUGCCAGAUGAGUCCUGGCUUCGGCAACAGGGGCAGAGAUCCUGGACCUCUGACGCCCACGCCAGGCUCCCCCUUCAUGGUGUCCCGAGCGCCUCCCACGCACUGGCUAUGGUGGGAUUGGCUCGGGACGAGGAUCGGUGUCGUCAUGAGGUGGGAGAAGGACCAUGUCAUAGUCGGAGCCGAGAGACAUGAACUCCAAACUCCCAAACAUCAUGAUGGUGCCGAGGUGAAGUGGGUGAAAUCCGUCUAGCAUCCGGGCUUUCCCUUAUAGGGAAAGGAGAGUGUCACGCAGAAGGCCCCUACCUGGCGCGCCAACUGUCAGUGUCUAUACUCAGGGUCCAAGCACUAACAAGUAAUAAGUCUGCAUGUCCUCCUAAACCCGAAUGGUGAUGCAAGGGAACACAGGGGAUUUAUACUGGUUCGGGCUUCGAAUGCCCUACGUCUAAUGAGGGGAUCAAAGUCUCUAUUGCCUUGCACCUGAGAGUGCUUGUAGUAGGGGUGUACAAGCUGGUUGCAAGAGAUGACUAAGUCCCAAGUCUCGACUUUAGGGAGUAAAUGGAGGGGAGUGCACUACUUGGGUGAAGAGUGUUGUUUGUGAUCUAUGUGUGUUGCGUUGUCUUUGAUAGGUGCCCUGCCUCCCCUUUUAUAGCCACAAGGGGUGAUAGGGUUUUUACUUGUGUAAGGUUGUGAAUUAUCUUUGGUGAGUGUGGUAGUGACAGUGCAGGUCCUGUGGAGAUCGGCCACUUCGUCCUUUGGGUAUGGCUUGACGGCGUGGUCACUCCAGUGGAGGGUCACCGAGCCCUGUUGAAGUUGUGGUGGUCGGGUCGGUGACACUGCAGUGUGUCCUACAAUAGUAAGGUAAUGACAGUCUAGAUGUGGUCACAGUGGCAGGGGUUAACCCUCCCCAUACAUCCUUUUACUAUAAGGCAAUGCCCCACAGUGAAAGAGGUAAGGUUCCACAGUGACUGGAGUUGUUGAAAUAGUAGCUGGCAUGCCCUGCUGCAGCAUGGGAGGCAUGGUGCGCGUCACAUCGGAGGUACGACCAUCGUGUGGUGAAAGCCUGACUCUAAGGCCGAGGCUCGGGCGAAGCGUAGAUUGCGCUCGAUGUUGAGGUUUUGGUAAAGGCGAAGAUCUCAUCCGAGACUCAGAGCUUGGGCGAGACAGAUCUUGCGUCCGAGGCCAGGGGGUCGGGCGAGAUGGAGCUUGCAUCCGAGCCCAGGGGGGUCGGGCGAGACGGAGCUUGCGCUCGGGCCUAGGAGGUCGGGCAUGACGGAGCUUGCGCUCAAGCCUGAAGGGGUUGGGCACUCGUCCUACUUCUUUUUGCCGCUUUUUAUCCCCUUAAUAUGGGUAUCCCCUUUUACGGUACCCAACAAAUUAAAAUCAAAUUAUUAGGUGUUACAAAUUCUACCCCCCUUAAAAGAAUCUCAUCCUCGAGAUUGAGCAUGCUUACUCAAACAACUAUGGAUAUGAUUUUCUCAGAUCAUCUUCUCUUUCCCAAGUUGCCUCUACUUCCGAAUGCCGAUUCCAUUGCACUUUGCACAUCUUAAUAAUCCGACUUCUAGUGACUCUCUCAAUGGUCUCCAAUAUUUUAACCGAGUAUUAUUCAUAAGUGAGAUCACCUUUAAUAGAAAGCUCUUCUAAUGGUAUUUGCUCCUUAGGUAUGUUGACACUUGCUAACACCACUUGUAUACUAAGUUGUCAUCCCCAGCAUGGCACUAGAGUGUACUAUGGUAUUUAUACGCACACAGAUAAUCCGCAAGCGCACAGAUACCGUUGAAGCUUUUACUCGGUUAAAGGUUUUAUCGUAUCCACAGGGAAACGAGAGAACUAAUCUACGCUCUAACUUAACCAAGAUAAGUAAAUAAGUGUAAAUAGGAAAGAUGGUAGAAUCGAAUAAGAGCAAUAUUAAAGGUAAGAUAACAGUGAGUGAUAAUAUGGGAAUAGAGAAUAGAGCAAUUCUAGUAUAUGGGCGAUGGUAGCAGAAUAGAGAGAAUAACUAUGGUUUCUCUACUUCAAAGGGGUAUGUCUAUGUCUGGGACGAACCACGUGAUAAGAGUACACCACAAAGGAUGCUUAUCCUUAGGCCGAUAAACCCUACCCGUCCUGCUAACGAGAGGUGGACUACAGAAGACCAACGUAACUGUCACCUACGCGGCCUACCAUACGAUCCAGCUAGACAGGGGAUAUCCACAAGUAAUCUAGGUCUAAGCACCACGCUUACACCUAUACUACAACUCUAACCUAUAGCGUCCUAUAGAUUAAAUUACUCAAAAGAGUUGUGAACCAGAACAUACAUAAUUAGUAAUUGCAUAAUGAAUUAGAAGUAGAUUACCAGAGUCAUCCCAUGAGCAAGCUUGAUUAGAGCUUGAUCAUGACGAAGUACAACCGGAGGAAGAACCGACAGGCCGGCCUCUCCUCUAAUCCUCCUUCGCUCUCCAUCUUGCUACUAUCUAGAUCUACUCUAGUUUAGAGAAGAGAAGAGAGCUCUCAUCUCUAAACCCUAGCUUUUGCUCUGUCUAUGAAUAAUGAAUAAUGAUCAAGGGGUGCCUCCUCCAGGGGCCAGGGGGUCUGGUUUUAUAGUCCCCUCAAGUGAACCUGGGCCGUCAGAUCAAACCGACAUAGAUUGAAUGGUUAUCCUUGAUCCUUUAGGUCGGUGGAGAUCUCUCGAGAAACAGAGUCCUGAUUGGACUCCAAGUCAGGGCGGGCGCCCAGGGCAGGAGGGCGGGCGCCCUACCUCUGGCCCCGUUCGGCCUCCGCUUUCUUCCCGUGGCUUCUGGAGUCUUCUAGAUGUAAGAUAAUUGCGCGGCAUGUUAAUAUGUCUAUGUAAUCCCGACGUGUGGGCCUUUCUUCCGUAUUUCCUGAUAACCCCCUGCAGAAAUAGACAAACACCAAAACUCGUGGAAUUCUGUCAGAUAAAACCCAAAGUCUAGAUGUUGAUUUCAUUUGGAUCCUUUUCUUUGUUUAUUUGAUAAUUAAAUUUGAUACUUAAGGACCGUCAACAAACUCCCCCAAGCUUACCUCUUGCUCGUCCCUAAGCAAGGAUAGACUCAGCAAUGGAUCAUAAGUUGUUGCAAUAUCUUAAAAAUUUGACGGUACACAUGCUUUUAAAUAAGAUCUCAUCUCUGAGUUAGAGUAAACUGUCAAGAACUAAAACUUACUUACUUUACCUUUCACCAUGGGACUUGUAACCGUCACUUCUGUCUUGAGUAGUUAAAAGAUAGAACAGUCUAGCCAAGUGUCAUGUCUCUUAUUCUUAAUCAGCUAUAGCUCUGGAGUUUUUGUAGAUUUUCAAAUAAAACUCAGAGAUUCCUUGUAUGACUCUCUAAAUCUCUCUUUUGUGGUAUUUCUGGAUCCUUACCAAGGCAGUGAUGGUAUAUGCCUUCUCUCAAGAUAUGUGGUAUUUGUGGUAUAAGGCAUAGUGACAUUGCCUUCUCUCUCACCCUACUCUAAUAAGGCUUUAAUAUCUGGAGUUCAUAGGUGGGAGAUAAAGUAUACAUACUUACAAGACAUUUAUUGUAUAGUCAAACCAUGGAUCUAAAGAAACAAAUCAAUAAGCCAAAUCAAGAUGUGCAUGUGUGGCGAAUGAAUGGUGUAUGGUGAUGAUGGUGAUAACAAUGGUGAAAGUCUAAUUCUACUUUUGCUCUUUUGAGGGGAUACAUACCUUCCUUGCUUUUUGAAACUUUAUGAGGAGAAUGAGAUGCUCUAUCUUUCAUUUUUCUUUCCUCUCAGGUGGGUAUCCUAUACCCCUAAUUCUACUGUCAGACACUUGUCCAUUUUUACCUCUCGUCUCACUCUUUUUUCUUUUCUUUCGAGGUUCCGGGCACUUGCCCCUUUUUAUUUCCUCAUUUAUUUAUUUUUUUUCUUUUCUUCUCUUUUCUUUUUUUUCAGAACACUCAUCUCUUGAGAUAAUAUAGCAAGUGGUAGUAGCAAGAUAACUUGAGCAUUUAUUUCACAAGAGAAAACAGAAAUAUUUUUAGCUAUUCUCUCCCGGAUUAGGAGUAGAAUAUUUUUGGGUGGUUCUGGAGAUGGACAUGGAUGGAUAUAUGUGGAUGGUACUUCUGGAGUAGAAGUAGCAUAUAUGAGUGAACGUGCAAGUGAAUCUUGAUUUAACCACAUGACAAGCUCCUAAGGGUCUACACAGCUUGACCACACUUAAUGCUCAUAAGCAGUAAAUAGUAAAUGUGUGGCUCAAAGUCUAGCAAGCAUGUAUAUAUGGCUGUGGUAGGAAUUUAAACUCUCAUCAUGCAGGAACUCGUCAUGCAAUAUUUUAAAGAUUUUUCAAAGAUAAAAUUCUCUAGAAUUCUAGCAUCUCUAGGAACAGAUAAACAGCAGCUCAACCUUCCCAUAUCAUAUCCGUUAACAACUUAGAUUUCAGAUCAAGUUUUCAUCCCACAAGUUUAGAUCUAGAGCAAGCUUUAAAUUAUAACAGUUAUGUCUAAACUUGAGAGAGAACUUCAAAUUUGCAAAUUAGGCAGAGCAACUAUUCAUCAUAUCCAUGCUAGAGUUUUAUUAUUAAGAUUCAGAUUAGCAUAGCCACUUUAUUUAUUUAUUAAACACACUAAGCAAAAGAUAUAUAUAAGUACAAAAUCUUUAUUUGGUUUUUCAUAGUUUAUGUAUUUUAAUAUUCUAAUAUAAUAUAAGUAUAAAGAUAGAUAGAAAUACUUAGCGAGAUAAAUGGGGGUGCUCUCCCCCAAGCUGAAUUUUUGACGUAAUUUCUCUUGAUGUAGCUAGCAGGUGGCAGAGGUGUAUUUGAAAGUCAGCAGCAUUCUGACAGCGAUUAGAAUGUCCUCCGUCUGCUAGUCUUCUUGAUUCUUAAAUUCUGUGGAGCUCAAAUAGACAACAAAGCUUGUGGAACUAAUUAAGUGUUAGCAUAAAUAUCUAGCCUUCAUCAUGUUGAGCUUCCUCAAUAAAUAUUACUCCUUAUUUUUAUAUUUUUAUUUUAUAAAGUAGAAAAGAAAUAUUUAUUUUAUUUUUAUGCCACCACAGUGAAGGUAUUUAUGGAUUUUAUGCCACUCGUAUACUCAUAUGGGGCUUAGUAUUUUUUAACAUUUUUAUUUUCUUUUCAAGAUAGCAUGAUUUAACUAAUAAUCUAUUUAAGGAAAGUAAAUAAUUAAAGGGAAAAGGGAAUGCAGAAAGGAUAAAUAUGGAUAACUACCGAUCUUACCUUUCGGCGAGGGUUCAAUGUUUUAAGUCUUCUUAACAAGACUUCUCACAGUGUUCAUUCUUCAGGUGCGUCAUUUGAUUCAGGUGCGGACCUUGACGUCUGCACUUCUUUGUUUGCCCAGCAGUUCGAAGUGCGGCGUUUGCAGUAUCCUGCUCACUGUGUUUGUGCUCGUAGAUCCAGGUCCUUCACUUGGUAGAGUCUGAGAGUUAUAAAACUCCUCCGUGUUUUGCUCGAAGUGUACCUGCUCAUAGAGACAAGGCAGAGAUCAAGUGUAUGGGUCCUGUUGGUGGAAAACACCAACAGAACCUAAAGUGUAUUUGUUCUUCUCUAACCCUAAGCAUAGUGAGCAAGACAAAGUUGAUGGAUGAAAAGUUCAUGAGUGUAGCACUUAUAACAUUUGUCAGAUCAGAUCGCUCAACCUUAUGGAAGAUAAUCUAUCUAUGUAUAUGUCUCUUUUUUUAUAUCUCUCAAUGAUUGAAUGUGUAACAUUUUAGCUCAUAUGAUUAGGAGUGUGGGAUCAUGGAGGUAGUACUAAGAACAAGGAUUAAAGGACUAAACAUGUUGAAUCAGUUGGGUUGGUUAAUCUAGAGUUGUAAAUCAUACAUGUUUGUCUCUUUUAUUUAUAUGAACGCCAGAACCAAGGAGAAGCUUAUAAAAGUGAUAGUCAAGUACCUUAAGAUGUUACCUUGCUUGAAGAGUGAUGGUACAGUAUCACCUUGUGGAAGCUUUCCUUUCUUAGCGGUUGUGCAUCGUGUUUGUGGCACCCUUCAUGGAUCAUCUCUCCAUGAUGAAUGAGCUAUGUCCUUCUUGUGCAAAUUGUUAAACUUCAUGUGUCACUCUCUUCGUCUCUGAUGUGAGUUUAUCUCAGGACUUCCCAAAUCGAUAUUGAAAGUUUUUCUGCAGGGGUUAGUCCGACAAAAAUAUACCAAUGUCUACACAAGCAAUUUUUAAUUCAAUAACCGAACUAGACUCCAUGUCUAAUCAGAUUAAGGAAGGCUGUUUAACCUAAGCACCAUGCUUAAUUUAAAAGCCAAUAGAAGUAUGUGCAGUACUUCCAAACUAACACUUACUAGUAAAUAGACAAAGGUAACAUGACAGCAUUUAUAGAGAUCUACUCAAGUGGAGAUGAGGUAGUGUGAUUAGUAUUUAACAAAUUGAGCAUGUCUCAAAGGUAGGGACAACCAGCAUAGCAACAUGGCAAAGGAUGUUUUUAUGUAAAGUACUCCCCCAAGCUUGAAUUUUGCAAAAUUCAAGUUUGGAUGAAUUUAAUUCAGUGUUGCAUAAUGAUUGGUUGGACAUACCUUGUGCUUGUCAUUCAUCCGAUCUUCUUGCUCCAAUCCUGGAAAGGUUAGUGACAAGAAUAUCCGAAGGAAUAUUUUUACAAUUAUUCUUAUAUGCUCAAUACACAAGGUAAUGUUGCAAAUAAUUAAAAACUCAUGUUAUGAUCUGAUCAGUGCUUAUUUUAGGACACUAAGCUUGUCCUUGGGAAACCAUCAAUUUAUGUCGGCAAAGUGGUUUCCCUUCCAACGCUGACCUAAAUCAAGAUCAACUCAACGAGAUCUGCAAUAUUUAUUAUAGACAUAUGCAUCGACAACCACCCUUUUAAAGUUUUUAUAAAUAGAAAGGAAGAGGGGGUUGGAGAUCUCAAAUGUGGUGAUGUUGGAGAGACCAAUAGAUUGGGAAGAUGUUGCAUAUGAGCAUGGAGUAAACAAAGUGGCUAUGAAAUAAAUUCCAUGCUCAUUAAUGUUAUCUUCGUCUCCAAUCUGAAUGUUCAGAGUUUCUCUUGGAUUGGUCUCACUUAUGUCCUCUUCUAUAGUUGGAUGAAUCCCAUCUUCAAAGGGAGUCAAGAACUCACCAUUUGAAAUUGAACCAAAGUCAGAAUUCAUUAAGGCUUCUUCCUUAUCCAUCCAUUCUACACAUUCUAGCCAUUUAGAACUUGUGAUCAGGAAAGGGGAGCUGAUAGAAUUUUCAAUAUGGCUUAGCUCUUCACUUGAUAUGUCAUCCUUGACUUCUUCAUAACAGGAACCAGGACAUUCUCUAAUAGAACCAUUAUUGCAAGGAUUUGAAUUAUCCCUGCUUAAAGGUCUCUUAUGAAACCAAAAGUCUAAACCAUCACUAUCUGAAAAAUUUAAGGUCGGAAUUCCUUCCUCCCUUGGAGAAUUUUGGGGCGUUGAUGGUUUAGGAUUGAUAGCUAAAGUUUGGAAUUGAAGUGGUUGUGAUCUGGCUAUCGAAACUUCUUCUUCUUCUCUAGGAACUGGUUCUGUCUCUUUCACGGGGAUAUAAAAGCUAGGAGACUUUCCACUUAAUAAAUCAAUCAAAUUCCAAGCUUCACUAGUAGGUAGGUGAUAGAAGGAUCCUCUAGAGGCUGCAUUCAAGGUUUGCUUAUUUUCCCCACAAAGGCCCUCAAAAAAGUGAAUUAGAAAAACUUCUUCUGGAAUAGAAAGCUUUGGGCCAGUGAGAGUAAGGUUAAUAAAGCGGUCCCAUGAUUUGCCAAGAGAUUCUUCUUCCAGUUGUCUAAAAGAAAUAAUCUCACGCCGAAGUUCUGCCACUUUGGAGAUUGGAAAAUAUUUAGAAAGAAAACUACUAUAUAACUCCUUCCAAUCUCCAUGAUCACUCCCUAUUUUGAGUUUGUACCAAUGUCUAGCUUUUCCGUUAAAGAGAACGGAAAGAGCUUCCAUUUAAGGAUCUCAUCGGACAUUCCUUCUAUGCGAAGGAGGUCACAGACUCGAUAAAACUCUCUUAGGUGUGUGUAUGGGUUUUCCUCACCUUCUCCUGAGAAAGGUUGUUUUUGAACAAAUUCUAUGUAUUCGGGGUCUAUCUCAAAACUAGAUGCUAUGAUAGGCUUUGAAGAUUUUGGUGGUUCGAGAUGUGUGCCCGUAGGUCUAUGAAAUUCAUACAUAGACAUGUUUGAAUUCAUGAUAGACCAGAGAUCAAGUAUUAGAUAAGAAGAAAGAAUAGCAGAGAUGAGGCAAAGGAUAAAAGGAAAUUUUUUUUUAUUUUUUUUAGAAAAUGAUUAAGCUAGUUCGUAGUCAACUCAGCAACCGUUUCCCCGGCAACGGCGCCAAAAAUGCUUGUUGACACUUGCUAACACCACUUGAAUAAUAGGUUGUCAUCCCCAGCAUGGCACUAGAGUGUACUAUGGUAUUUAUACGCACACAGAUAAUCCGCAAGCGCACGGAUACCGUUGAAGCUUUUACCCGGUUAAAGGUUUUAUCGUAUCCACAGGGAAACGAGAGAACUAAUCUACGCUCUAACUUAACCAAGAUAAGUAAAUAAGUGUAAAUAGGAAAGAUGGUAGAAUCGAAUAAGAACAAUAUUAAAGGUAAGAUAACAGUGAGUGAUAAUAUGGGAAUAGAGAAUAGAGCAAUUCUAGUAUAUGGGCAAUGGUAGCAGAAUAGAGAGAAUAACUAUGGUUUCUCUACUUCAAAGGGGUAUGUCUAUGUCUGGGACGAACCACGUGAUAAGAGUACACCACAAAGGAUGCUUAUCCUUAGGCCGAUAAACCCUACCCGUCCUGCUAACGAGUGGUGGACUACAGAGGACCAACAUAACUGUCACCUACGCGGCCUACCACACGAUCUAGCUAGACAGGGGAUCUCCACAAGUAAUCUAGGUCUAAGCACCACGCUUACACCUAUACUACAACUCUAACCUAUAGCGUCCUAUAGAUUAAAGUACUCAAAAGAGUUGUGAACCAGAACAUACAUAAUUAGUAAUUGCAUAAUGAAUUAGAAGUAGAUUACCAGAGUCAUCCCAUGAGCAAGCUUGAUUAGAGCUUGAUCAUGACGAAGUACAACCGGAGGAAGAACCGAUAGGCCGGCCUCUCCUCUAAUCCUCCUUCGCUCUCCAUCUUGCUACUAUCUAGAUCUACUCUAGUUUAGAGAAGAGAGGAGAGCUCUCAUCUCUAAACCCUAGCUUUUGCUCCGUCUAUGAAUAAUGAAUAAUGAUCAAGGGGUGCCUCCUCCAGGGGCCAGGGGGUCUGGUUUUAUAAUCCCCUCAAGUGAACCUGGGCCGUCAGAUCAAACCGACAUAGAUUGAAUGGUUAUCCUUGAUCCUUUAGGUCGGUGGAGAUCUCUCGAGAAACAAAGUCCUGAUUGGACUCCAAGUCAGGGCAGGCGCCCAGGGCAGGAGGGCGGGCGCCCUGCCUCUGGCCCCGUUCGGCCUCCGCUUUCUUCCCGUGGCUUCUGGAGUCUUCUAGAUGUAAGAUAAUUGCACGGCACGUUAAUAUCUCUAUGUAAUCCCGACGUGUGGGCCUUUCUUCCGUAUUUCCUGAUAACCCCCUGCAGAAAUAGACAAACACCAAAACUCGUGGAAUUCUGUCAGAUAAAACCCUAAGUCUAGAUGUUGAUUUCAUUUGGAUCCUUUUCUUUGUUUAUUUGAUAAUUAAAUUUGAUACUUAAGGACCGUCAACAAGGUACACGCAAACACUUCUUAAGUUGUGACACAUGGAACACAUCAUGCACACCAGAUAAACUUUCAGGCAAUUCUAACUGAUAUGCUACUUCCCCACGCCUUUGCAAAACUUUAAACCUUGGAGCUAGCUUUCCUUUCAUAUUAAACCUCUUCACACUCCUCAUUGGUGAUAUUUCCAGAUAGAUAUAAUCACCUUCUUCAAAAACCAGUUCUCUCCUACGUGUAUCUGCUUAACUUUUCUGACGAGACUGAGCAACUCUCAGAUUAUCUGGAACAGUCCACACCUGUUGUACAUCUGUACCAACAGGUGUUCUGCAUGUCUAAGCACAUCUAUACCAAACACCUGAGUCUCUGCUGUCUGAUUCCAAAACAAAGGUGUCAUGUACUUACGACCAUACAAUGCCUCAAAUGGUGCCAUCUUAAGACUCUGCUGAUAACUGUUGUUGUAGGAGAAUUCUGUAUAUGGCAAACUCUUGUACCAGCUAGCUCCAUACUACAAAGCACAAGCUCUCAACAUAUCCUCUAGUAUCUGAUUGAUCCUCUCAGUCUGUCCAUCUGUCUGUGGAUGAUAUGCUGUACUAAAAUUCAACUUUGUUCCCAAAGAAUCAUGGACUGCUUUCCAAAAGUGAGAGGUGAACUGAGUACCCCUAUCUGACACAAUCUUCUUAGGUACCCCAUGCAAAGAAAUGAUUCUUUCCAUGAAUAACUCUGCCAGUCGGUCUCCACUAUAUGUAGUUGUUGAUAUUUGGGAACGCAAUAAGGAAUUGAUCCGCAAGCGCACGGAUAUCGGUGAGCACUUCACCCGGGAAAUUAUCCAGAGUAUCGUAUUUAUUUUUUUACCACUAGGAGAAAGAGUGCAUCUGACUAACCGGUCUAUUACUACUAACCUUUAGGCACAAAGAAUGUCUUUCGAUGUGAGUGAUAAAUAGAAAAGACUGCAACCGUAGUCUCCUUCUAACCUUGGUAAGGAUGAUCUACUGUUCUAAUGGGGAGGCUAACGGAAUCUAGACACCACAAAGGAUGUUCAACCCGCACCUAUAAACCCUAUCCUUCCUGCUAACGAGAUGUGAUCUACAAAGGUAACUCGGAAUUGUCACGUUCCUCACUACUACCACGGUCCAGCUAGUCAGGGAAUAUCUAUGAGUACCCCAGCCUAAACACCACGUUUACGCCAGCAAUGAUUACUCUAAACUCUACGCGAAGAGAAUUAAAGUAAACUCAUAAACCAUAAGAACAAUAAAACAAGAACUUACUAGAAUUUAGAAGUCGAAAUACUGAAGAAUCCUAGGAGCAAGCUUCGGGUUAGGAGAACUUGAUCCCGCAGGUACAAGCUUGGAGUAGACACCGACAGGCCGGGCUUCCUCCAAUCUACACCUCCACUCUAUCUCUCUCAAUCUAGUAGAAACUAGAAGAUCUAUUUCUACCUUACAUUGGUUGCUAAGCCUAAAAAGAAAUAUUAAUUAGAGAAGAGGUUUUCCUUCAAGGGCACCCCUCAGUCUCUAUGAUAAUUUCUUCAUGUCUUCUCCACGGGCCAGGGGGUCUCCUUAUAUAGUCCUCCCCUUCUAUGCGUUUUUGGGUCGAUAGGCGAGGUGGUACUAUGUUUUUCUUGACCCAAUAGGUCAGUGGAACAUCCCGUGCGAAGAGAGUCCCGAGAGCAAUCCAACAGGGGGCGGGCGCCCAGGUCACCAGGGCAGGCGCCCUGGGCCUGGCCCCUUUCGGCCUCCGUCUUCUUCCCGUGGCUUCUGGAAUCUUCUAGAUGGUGGAAAAUCGUGCGGUGCGUUGAGAUCUCUAUGUAAUCCCGAGAUGUGGGUCUUUCUUCCUUAUUUCCUGAUAACCCCCUGCAGAAACAGAUAAACAACAAAACUCGUGGAAUUCUGUCAGAUCAAAUCCUAAUUCUAGGUGUUGGUUGCAUAUUGGUCCAUUCUCUUGUUUAUUUGAUAAUUAAAAUUGAUACUUAAGAACCGUCAACAAAUACCCCCAUACUUAGGCUUUUACUCGUCCUCGAGAAAAGGAUGGUUAAGAAAAAUAUCUGGGGUAAACAUUUUAAAGCAUUCUCUAUAUAAUUGCAGGGUGUUACAAAUCCACUGUGUACCAUAGUCAGGGAAGUUUAUGAUCAAGAGUAAAGAUCCUUUCUUCUCAAUCCUGUCACUUGGAGUUUUUGUAUAUUUUUGAAAGAAAGUUAGCAUACCUUUUUAUCCUCAUAGGUUCUUCUCAGAUCACUCAUUAUCUUUUAUAUAUAUCUCACUGAGGCUGUUUUAUUUUGCAAAAAUUCUCAAGCAUUCUUACUUUGCAUUUAUUUCCUGAUCAAAACGGGAUCCGAGGAGGGGAAUGUCAUACUCUUAGAUCAAAGACUUUGGAAAUUAAAAUCUUUGUCAACUCUUGCUGGCAUAUUGCUUAUUAGAGGGACCAUGGGCUAUCAUUUUUUUCUCUUUUUUUUAAGUGGAUACCGAGGUACCCCUAGUUCUACUGCCGGACACUUGUCCAUUUUUUCUGCGAGGUUGUCGAGCACUUGCUCCUUUUUAUUUCCUCGAAAUAUUUCUAUUUUUGCAUAGCCCAUGCCUCUAAUGCAAUAAUACUUCGGAAGAGUGAAUCUUACUGAAAUAAUGUCUUGAUCUUGGGAGCAUGAUAAAUCUCUCAACAAGGGUCUAACUCAUUUUGAACAAACUCAAUACAGAGCAGAUAGCUUUUAUAAUCAUAAUUAAUAUUUUCAGUUUUAUCAGGCAUAUAAAACUGAGGAUGGUAGCUAGAAUUUUGAAUAUUCUGAAAUAAAUUCUCCAAGCAACAAUGAUAUCAAGAAUAAGAAACUCAUACUCUACCAUCACAUAUUCCAUAUUGACUUAAGUAACACAGGGUUUUAAAAUGAUUUUAUAAUAAUUGCAAGUUUUCAGGAAAUAUCAUAGAUUGAGAUUAAUCAUGAUUAGAAAUAUUUUAAUCUUUUUAUUUUAUCAUGUCGGGGACAAUAUUCUGCAUAAUCCAAAAUAAAUGUAUGUGUAAAGUGUGCAGAGUGUGUACCUGAAUCGUGGAGUGGUGUAGUUGGAGUGUGUUUGGCAUGUCGAGGGAUCUCCCCCAUACUUGUUUUCUGCUUUCUUGCACAAAAAUAAAGUAGAGACACACAAGACAUAAUAAUAAUAAUAAUAAUAAUAAUAAUAAUAAUAAUAAUAAUAAUAAUAAUAAUAAUAAUAAUAAUAAUAAUAAUAAUAAUAAUAAUAAUAAUAAUAAUAAUAAUAAUAAUAAUAAUAAUAAUAAUAAUAAUAAUAAUAAUAAUAAUAAUAAUAAUAAUAAUAAUAAUAAUAAUAAUAAUAAUACUCUUUAUUGAUCUUGAGGCAUUUAUUACAAAAGAUUGAUAGCAAACUGAUAGCAAACUGAUAAUAGCAAACUUAAACCGAAUUUAAAGAUAGAUGACUAAGAUGCAUUGCCUCAAGGUCUAAUCUAGAUAACUUAGCGGCGCUCUAAUUCCUUGAUCUUCUUGUUGGCACUGGCAAGAUCCUGCCUAAGGCCUAGUAUAAUGGUGUUAUGGUUAGAGAGCUUCCUAGUGAGGGAAUUAAUCGAGGACUGGAGGUCUAUGAUAACUCUAUCUAGCCAGCGAACUUCCUCAUCAAUAUCCAUUAUAGUCUUGCGACGCUUGGGAGGUGUCUCAAAAGCAUUGAGAGAGUGCUUCGGGGCUGCCUUUGGAGGGAUGAAACGGACUUCGGAUGCUCUAAUCCCUUCAAAGUAAGGCCUUUCCUCCUCUGUAGUGUAGCGAAUACUGCUGAUCUCGCCGCUCUGGUUGGUCUUGACUCCAACGACCCUCUCAUUGGGUCUAGGUGGAAGGAUCCUUAUGCUGAUUGGCACCUUGAUAGUGGUCUUCAUCUUGGAUGAUGAUCCUUUGAGGAGUAGGGGUUGUGGCAGUGCGGUGAGAACUGGUUGAGCAUGGUAAGAUUGGGCGGAGCUGCGUUGGCGUAAUGGCAUGGCUUCUAGCUGACGCUCUGUGUUGGCCGGGACGAGAGCACGGGCAUCGGGGUCCUCCACAGGCUCCAUGUUGAGGUUGAAGGGGACGACUUCCCAAUCAUCAUGGUACUUCUCGGCCAUUGGAACAGCAAGGAACUAAUCAAACUUUAAUUGAAGGAGAGCUAAUCAAGCUCUAAUUGAAGGAGAGAAAGCUUGGUGGCUUAGUGUUUGAAAACUGAGGUCAGGGGUCUGUUUAUAUAGGGGUCAAAAGGGUGCCUCUAUGGGUUGUUCGGGUUGCUCCCGUCGACGUGCGUGCGAAACUUUCCAUCCGAGGGAUUAUUCGGAUCACCCUAAGUGCAUUUUCCAUAACAGAGAAAGUCGGGACCGAGGGGGAACAGGGGCUGGGCGCCCGCCCACUUGAUCUGGGCGCCCGCCCUCUCUCUGGCCCCUCUGUGGGCCCACUUCUCCGAGCGCAUUUCUAGAUGCGGAAUUAUUUAGAAAAAUAUAUAUAUGACCCAAAAUCAUCAGACCAAAAGUGUCGGGCUCUAAUUCUCCAUGGGAAGGUAAAAAUGGACUACGUCUAUUUCUUCAAAUUCCUCAUUGGGCUCUAAAAAAUAAUUUAAGACGUUGACCAUUUACCUUGAAUAACGUACCUUCGCUAUUUUGAAGUGUGAUAGCUCCGUGGGAUGAUGAAUUGAUUACCUUGAAUGGUCCUUCCCAUUUGCUCCGGAGUUUUCCAUGCCCGAAAAGCUUCACCCUGGAAUUAAAAAGUAAUACCUUAUCUCCGGGUGUGAACUCCUUCUUCUUGAUUCUCUUGUCAUGCCACCUCUUGACUCUUUCUUUGUAGAUCUUUGAGUUGUGAUAUGCCUUCUCUCGCCAUUCUUCCAAUUCUGAUAGUUGCAUUCUUCUAUAAUCUCCAGCAACAUCCAGGUCCAUAUUCCAUCUCUUUAUGGCCCAGUGUGCUUUGAACUCUAGUUCAACGGGUAGAUGGCAAGUCUUCCCGUACACCAAUUGGUAUGGAGACAUUCCAAUUGGGGUCUUGUAUGCUGUCCGGUAUGCCCAUAGUGCAUCGGGUAACUUGUCUUUCCACGCCGUUCCCAUUUCAUUUACUGUCUUCUGAAGAAUAUUCUUGAUUUGUUUGUUGGAAGUCUCUGCUUGGCCACUUGUCUGAGGAUGAUAAGGGGUAGCGAUGUUGUGACGGAUUCCAUGUCUUGAUAGAUAUUGCUUGAAACGUUUGUCGAUGAAGUGUGCUCCUCCAUCACUUAUUACUACUCUGGGGACUCCAAAUCUUGGAAAUAUAAUUUCUUCAAACAUCCUCUUUGAACUGACGUUGUCGGCAUGCUUGCAAGGUAAUGCUUCUACCCACUUGGAGACAUAGUCAACUGCCACCAAGAUGUACUCGCACUUCUUUGAUGGAGGAAAUGGACCCAUAUAGUCUAUUCCCCAGACAUCAAAGAGCUCAAUCUGAAGGUUGUUGGUGAGUGGCAUUGCAUCCCUUGUAUUUAUGUUUUCGUGUCUUUGACAUGGCCCACAUCUUCUGAUAUAUUGCUUCGUGUCUUCAUACAUUGUAGGCCAAUAGAAUCCACACUGCCAGAUCUUUGAAUGUGUACGGAAUGCUCCAUAGUGACCUCCAUAUGGUGAUGAAUGACAUCUGUCGAUGAUCUUCCAUCCUUCCUCAGUGGUCACACAUCUCCUGAGUAAGCCAUCAGAGCAUACUCGGAAGAGGUAUGGCUCAUCCCAUAUAUGUGAACGACUUUCUUGAAUAAGCUUCUUCUUGUUUGCUCCUGGUGGUACAUACCCUGAAACCAUAAAAUUAACAAUAUCUGCAUACCAGGGGUCAGACCUGUUAAUCCCGUAGAGCAUGUCGUCCCAGAGUGAAUCAUUUAUGGGGGUUUCCUGUGGACUCUUAAAAUACAUUCUAGACAACUGAUCAGCAACAUAAUUUUCUACUCCCUUUUUAUCUUUUAUUUCUAAGUCAAAUUCUUGGAGUAAUAAGAUCCAUCUAAUCAGGCGAGGUUUAGCAUCUUUUUUAGUGAGCAAAUAUUUUAGUGCAGCAUGAUCAGUGUAAACAAUUAUUUUAGCUCCAACUAAAUAAGAUCUAAAUUUAUCUAUGGCAAAGACAACAGCCAGAAGCUCUUUUUCAGUGGUUGCAUAGUUAAGUUGAGCUCCUGUCAAAGUUUUACUGGCAUAAGCAAUUGCAUGAUGCUUCUUAUCUUUAGUUUGUCCUAAUACUGCCCCCACAGCAUAAUCACUAGCAUCACACAUAAUUUCAAAAGGCAACGACCAAUCAGGGGGUUGAAUGAUUGGUGCAGAGAUGAGUGCUUUCUUUAAUAAAUUGAAAGAUGUUAGACAUGCAUCAUCAAAUUCGAAAGGAGCAUCCUUGGCUAGCAAAAGAGUAAGUGGUCUGGCAAUAAAUGAAAAAUCUUUUAUGAAUCUACGAUAAAAACCAGCAUGGCCAAGAAAGCUUUGAAUUCCUUUUAUAUUCACAGGUGGAGGUAGUUGUUCAAUUACUUCAAUUUUAGCUUUGUCUACCUCAAUACCUCUUUCAGACACUAAGUGUCCUAGCACUAUUCCUUCCCUAACCAUAAAAUGACAUUUUUCCCAAUUAAGGAUUAAGUGCUUUUCUUCACAUCUUUGCAAAACCUUGUCUAAGUUUUCAAGACAACUAUCAAAAGUUUUUCCAUAAACAGAGAAAUCAUCCAUGAAAACUUCCAUAAUCUCUUCAAUCAUAUCAGAAAAUAUAGACAUCAUGCAUCUUUGAAAAGAAGCUGGUGCAUUACAUAACCCAAAAGACAUUCUACGAUAAGCAUAAGUUCCAUAUGGGCAUGUAAAAGUGGUUUUGCUUUGAUCAUCGGGAUGGAUCGGGAUUUGGUGAUAUCAUGAAUAUCCAUCUAAGAAACAGAAGAACGAAUGGUUUGCUAACCGCUCUAGCAUCUCAUCUAUAAAAGGUAAAGGAAAGUGAUCCUUUCUCGUGGCUUUGUUUAGUUUUCUAUAGUCUAUGCACAUCCGCCAUCCUGUGACAGUGCGUUGCGGAAUUAGCUCGUUCUUUUCAUUCAUAAUAACUGUCAUGCCUCCCUUUUUGGGCACAACUUGUACUGGGCUCACCCACUCACUGUGCGGCACAGGAUAUAUAAUCCCUGCAUGCAGCAACUUUAUAACUUCCUUUUUAACUACCUCUCUCAUAGUGUUGUUAAGUCUACGUUGGGGUUCUCGAGAGGGUGUAACAGAAGGAUCUGUUGGAAUACGAUGGGUACAAAUCAUAGGACUGAUUCCUGUAAGAUCUUGAAGUGAGUAGCCGAAAACUGAGUGAUGUUUCUCAAGAAUGGUCAUUAAUCGCAGAGUUUGAUCCUGAGUGAGUUUAUCGCUAAUGAUCACAGGGAACUCUAGAUUAUUGUUUAGGAAAGCAUAGGUAAGACCGGGUGGUAAAGUUUUAAGCUCUAUGGGAGGUCUAGGUGUUUCUGCAAACUCAUCUAAGGGUUCAGGCACGGAAGGUUCGUCUUCUUCUUCUGUGAAGAAAGGAGUUUCGUCUUCUAAGUCUGGUUCAUCUAAAAGCUCUAGAGAUGCAGCCUUUACUUCCUCCAUAGGAUCAGGCAAAAGAUAUGACUCGGCCUUAUUGUUUAAGGAGUGUGAAAUUAUUAUUGGGAAUUUAAAAGUUUUUCCAAAAGAAAUGUGUAGCUUUCCAGUAUGACCAUCAUAAAGGAGUCUUCUAAAAGGUUGUCCUAUCAACAGGUUGAAGUCCCAUGUAUCAAAGAUAUAGAAGUUCAAAUGAACCAUGGAGCCUUCUACCGUAAGAGGUAGGACAUUAAUAAUUCCAAGACUGGGGACUAAUCGUCCCGAAGAUUCCUUUAUGACCUUUGUUGUGGGGGUUAAGACAAGAUUUUUAAAUAGUUUAAGUGCAAAGGAUUCAGACAUAAUGUUGAUCCCCACAACAGGAUUAUAAAGAGCAUUAAAUCGAUCAGAAUUAUAAGCACAGCGUAUAGUUAUAGAGGGCGUGUCCAAACAGAUCACAUCAGAGGAAAGCUCUGAUUCCUCCAACCAUUCGCUACUCAUUACUGAGAUAAGCUCUCUCAAUUGAUAUUCACUUGGCAAAUAAAUGCUAAACUGGCCGUUUUGGGGUUUGUCAAUAGAAUGGUAGUUUGAAAUAUUUCCAAAAUCGGCAAAAAGAUCGGAUUCUAUAUCCAGCAUGAAGUCCGGUGGUGGAAUUUCUUCCUCUUGUGGCUCAGAACUUGGGAUAGCUAAAGUAGAUGAAGAAUUUGGCAGAGUGUCUACUUUGGCUUCGUAGGUUUCAUCAUGAAGGGUAUUAUCCAUCUAAGCUUAGGAUUCUAUCUAGGAUCACUCUUGCUUCCUCAGCAGGGAUGCGAAAGAAAGAACCUCUAGACAUUGUGUGAAGCAUUUGUUUGUGAUUUUUCUGAAGACCUCGAAAAAAGUGAAAUAAAAGAAUAGGGUCUUCAAGAUUAAGGUUUGGACCAGAUUCUAAAAGAUCAGAAAAAUGUUUCCAGGAUUUUCCCAAAGUUUCAUUAUCUUUUUGUUUAAAAGAUAGGACUUCGAGUCUAAGGUCGGCUAUACGGUCAAGGGAAUAGAAAUCUAGACAAAAGUUGGCUCGUAAAACUCCCCAUUCACCUUGUUGUUGACUUACCUUCUGACUGUACCAUUGUCUAGCUUCUCCCCUUAAGGAAAAAGGAAAAAGCUUCCAACGUAAAGUUUUAUCAGAAAUGCCUUCAAUGCGAAGACAAUCACAUGUUUGCUCAAAAUCUCUAAUAUGAAGGUAAGGGUUUUCGUCUUCCUUUCCCGAAAAAGAUAGGUUUUGAAUCAUGGCAAUCAACCUAGAACUUAACUUAUACUGGGAUGUUUGGAUAGGCUGUGAUGAUUCCCAUGGUAAAAGGUCAGUUGCUAAAGGGAUUGCAGACUCAUGGAUCGAUUUAGAAUUUUGGUUUUCCAUAAGGUAAGAAUAAAUAAAGAAUAUAAAAGAUAAGAAAAGAUAAAAGUAUAGAUACAAGCUAAUAGUAAGACUCAGGUUAUCUCAGCAACCGUCUUUCUCCCCGGCAACGGCGCCAGAAAUGCUUGUUGAUAUUUGGGAACGCAAUAAGGAAUUGAUCUGCAAGCGCACGGAUAUCGGUGAGCACUUCACCCGGAAAAUUAUCCAGAGUAUCGUAUUUAUUUUUUUACCACUAGGAGAAAGAGUGCAUCUGACUAACCGGUCUAUUACUACUAACCUUUAGGCACAAAGAAUGUCUUUCGAUGUGAGUGAUAAAUAGAGAAGACUGCAACCGUAGUCUCCUUCUAACCUUGGUAAGGAUGAUCUACUGUUCUAAUGGGGAGGCUAACAGAAUCUAGACACCACAAAGGAUGUUCAACCCGCACCUAUAAAACCUAUCCUUCCUGCUAACGAGAUGUGAUCUACAAAGGUAACUCGGAAUUGUCACGUUCCUCACUACUACCACGGUCCAGCUAGUCAGGGAAUAUCUAUGAGUACCCCAGCCUAAACACCACGUUUACGCCAGCAAUGAUUACUCUAAACUCUACGCGAAGAGAUUAAAGUAAACUCAUAAACCAUAAGAACAAUAAAACAAGAACUUACUAGAAUUUAGAAGUCGAAAUACUGAAGAAUCCUAGGAGCAAGCUUCGGGUUAGGAGAACUUGAUCCCGCAGGUACAAGCUUGGAGUAGACACCGACAGGCCGGGCAUCCUCCAAUCUACACCUCCACUCUAUCUCUCUCAAUCUAGUAGAAACUAGAAGAUCUAUUUCUACCUUACAUUGGUUGCUAAGCCUAAAAAGAAAUAUUAAUUAGAGAAGAGGUUUUCCUUCAAGGGCACCCCUCAGUCUCUAUGACAAUUUCUUCAUGUCUUCUCCAGGGGCCAGGGGGGUCUCCUUAUAUAGUCCUCCCCUUCUAUGCGUUUUUGGGUCGAUAGGCGAGGUGGUACUAUGUUUUUCUUGAUCCAAUAGGUCGGUGGAACAUCCCGUGCGAAGAGAGUCCCGAGAGCAAUCCAACAGGGGGCGGGCGCCCAAGUCACCAGGGCGGGCGCCCUGGGCCUGGCCCCUUUCGGCCUCCGUCUUCUUCCCGUGGCUUCUAGAAUCUUCUAGAUGGUGGAAAAUCGUGCGGUGCGUUGAUAUCUCUAUGUAAUCCCGACAUGUGGGCCUUUCUUCCUUAUUUCCUGAUAACCCCCUGCAGAAACAGAUAAACAACAAAACUCGUGGAAUUCUGUCAGAUCAAACCCUAAUUCUAGGUGUUGGUUGCAUAUUGGUCCCUUCUCUUGUUUAUUUGAUAAUUAAAAUUGAUACUUAAGAACCGUCAACAGUAGUUUUGACAGGUAUGAAAUGAGCAACUUUAGUUAAACGAUCUACUAUCACCCAUAUUGAGUCACACCCUCUCUGUGUACAUGGUAAACCCACUAUAAAAUCUAUACCUACUUCUUCCCACUUCCAUUCUGGAAUCUUCAUUGGUUGCAACAGUCCAGCUGGCCUCUGAUGUUCAGCUUUCACUCGUUGGCAGGUAUCACACACAACAACAUACUCAGCCACAUCUCUCUUUAAGCCAUACCACCAAUACUUCUAUUUCAGAUCUAGAUACAUCUUAGUGCUACUAGGAUGAAUAGAGUAAGCUGACUCAUGAGCCUCUCUCAGAAUCAUAUCACGAAUAGCCUUUUCAGGAACACAUAUCCUUUUCCCAAACCACAGUAUACCAUUGUCAUCUAUUCUGAAUCCUGGUGCUUUACCUAGUACCACAUUCUGUGCUAUCUCCUUUAGUUUCUCAUCCUCCACUGUCCUUUCAAUAUCUCCUCCUCUAGAGUAGGAGUUACUUCAAUUUCCAUAGCAUUCACUACAAUUCCUAGGUUCAAAUAUGCAAAUUCAGCACGCAACUCCUUAGAUUUAGGUGUCGCCUGAAGCUCAUUAGCAUAUUUCUUUCUGCUAAGUGCAUUAGCCAUGACGUUCGCCUUUCUAGGAUGGUAAUGCACUUCUAAAUCAUAAUCUUUUAUCAGUUCCAACCAUCUACGCUGCGUCCAAUUCAGAUCUGUCUAGGUGAAGAUAUACUUCAAACUCUUAUGAUCAUUGUAUAUGUCACUCUUAUGCCCAACCAAAUAGUGCCUCCAAAUCUUCAGUGCAUCGACCACAACUGCUAAUUCUAGAUCAUGAGUAGGAUAAUUCAGUUCAUGUUUUCUCAACUGUCUAGAUGCAUAAGCCACAACUCUACCUUCUUGCAUAAGAACACAACCCAAUCCCACACGAUAAGCAUCACAAUAAAUAGAAGAAACUCCUACUCAGAUCUGGCAAUACCAACACAGGUGUAGUAGUCAAUGUCUUCUGAAAUUCCUCAAAACUUAGCAUUCUUCUCUCACAGAACAGUCAUAGGCUUUGCAAGUUUUGAGAACCCUUCAAUGAACUACGAUAAUAACCAGCUAGACCAAGAAAACUGCAAAUUUCACUUACAUCUGUAGGCGGUUUCCAAUUCAGCACAUCUUUCACCUUACUAGGAUCCACUGCAAUACCACCAUUAGAGACAACAUGACCAAUAAAAGAAACUUCUUCCAACCAAAACUCACAUUUACUAUGCUUGGCAUACAACUUAUGUUCUCUAUGUUUCUGUAAGACCAAUCUCAGAUGUUCAGCAUCUUCUUCUUUUGUUUUAGAGAAUACCAGUAUAUCAUCAAUAAAUACCACCACAAACUUAUCCAGAUACUCCAUAAAUACUUUAUUCAUCAUGUACAUAAAGUAAGCUGGUGCAUUGGUCAACCCAAAAGACAUAACUGCAUACUCAUACAACCCAUACCUUGUUGUGAAAGCUGUCUUGGUAUAUCUGAAUUCUGAAUCUUCAAUUGAUGAUAACCAGAACGCACAUCAAUCUUAGAGAACACACAAGCACCUCUUAGCUGAUCAAAUAAGUCAUCAACCCUAGGCAAGGGAUACUUAUUCUUGAUAGUGACCUCAUUAAGUGACCGAUAAUCAACACACAUCCUCUGACUACCAUCCUUCUUAUCAACAAAGAUAACUGGUGCACCCCAUGGUGAAGAACUAGGACAAAUGAACCCUUUAUCUUGCAAUUCCUUUAUUUGUUUCUUAAGUUCUUCUAAUUCAUUAACCCCCAUUCUAUAUGGUCUUUUAUCUAUGGGUGCAGUACCAGAUAGUAAUUCAAUAAUAAAUUCAAUGUCUCGGUCAGGUGGCAUACCAGGCAAUUCAUCUGGAAAACAUCUAGAAACUCAUUCACUACCAGGUUCUGAGGAUCAACAUCAUCAUCCAGUUGCUUCACUGUAGUUGUAGGUAGUGCCUGUACUACUACAUCAACACUGAUUCGUUCUCCCUUCGGUGUUGUCAGAACUACCAUUUUCUCGUUGCACUUAAUUUCUAUAGUAUAUUUCUUCAUCCAAUCCAAACCCAAGAUCACAUCUAUGCCUGAAGUUCUCAUAACCAUGGGACUGAUAGGAAAAUCUACCCCCCUUAAAGAAAGACUUGCUAGGGGCAACAAUAAGAAACUGGUAUAGUCUCACCCGAUGAAUUUACUAGCAUAGGAGUUUUCAUGGCAACUAGUGGAAUGCUAUGAACUCUAACAAAUGCUUGUGAAAUGAAUGUAUGUGAAGCUCCAGAAUCAAAUAAAACUGUAGCAGGGAUAGAGUUGAUGUUGAACGUACCCAUCAUAAUUUCAGGUCCCUCCUGAACUGUUUCUGAAGCCACAUUGUUCACCGUUGCCACGUAAGUAGUAGACUUCUGAUUGUUGUUCUCCUUGUUGUACUUCUUUGGGCAAUCAUAUGACAUAUGUCCUUCCUUCCCACAGCGGAAACACCCCAUAGGAGUGAUAGGAGCACUUUUCUUCAUGGGGGUGGCAUUUGAAUUCCCUGAUUAGGAUUAUGCUGCUAGAAUGGAGGGCGUUGAUUCCCAUUCUGUGGUUGAUUCUGGAAACACUGAGGUUGCUGGUUGCGGUUCCACUGACUAAUCGGUCCCUAGAACCUCUGCUGAUGGCCCUGCUGAGAACUGAAAUGUUGGUGGUUAUUGCUCCCAGAUCCUUGUGCUAGCAUCCUCCGCUUCUUAUCCUGCCCUUUGUGCAUGUUGUCCAAUACAAUAGCACGAUUCACCAGAGCCUGGAAGGUAGGAUAAGUAUUUCCAGCCAGUUGCAACCUGAGUUCAUAGUAGAGACCCUUCAUGAACAGGCGCUGCUUAUCAACAUCUUCUCUGACAUCAUUUGGGGCAUAGCGAGCAAACUGCUCAAAUGUGUCAUGAUACUCAGCCACAGUCAUAGAGCCCAUCCUGAGCGAUCUGAAUUCCUCUUGCUUGAGCUCCAUCAUCCCCUCAUUGAUAUGUCGAGCUCUGAAAUCUCUGCAAAAUUCCUGCCAGGUGACAGUAGGAGCAUGGUUGGGACGAGCAGCUUGAUAACACUCCCACCAUGUCUGAGCUUCUCCCUGCAGCUGUCCUGAAGCGUACAACACCUUUUUCCAGAUCAUUGUAUUGUGCUAUGUUCAGUUGUUUCUCCACAGCACGCAGCCAGUCAUCUGCCUCCAUAGGAUCAGUAGAGUGAGUAAACACUAGAGGUCUUCCUUCAUGAAUUCUCCAUGCUUGUCCCUCACAUGAACAGGUGGUGGUGAUGGCGGUGGUGGAGGUUGAUGCUGAAAGUGCUGCAUGAAAGCAUGCAUCAUCUCAUUCUGAGUUUGUAUGAGAUCUUCCACAGUAAUUGGAACAUUGGCACCCAUGCCACGGCCUCUACCUCUGCCUCUGCCUCUGCCUCUGCCUCUUCCCCUUGCUGCCAUCUGCAUUCCAAGGUAUAAAAACAUGUCUUAGUAACGUCCAACAUGACAAUUACAAGAGAUAACGGAAUCUAAAAAUUUUCUAGGUAACAUCCAACAUCAGCAGAUCAGAAAAUCAGUCAUAUAUCGAGUUCCAGAAAUCAAAAGGAUACAUUCUGUACACUGUUGGAAAGAUAAAGAAAUUAUCUACAACUUUCAUUUAGAUCAUAUUAACAGAUUCCAUCGUUAAAUAAAUCAAAAACUGGGUACAUCCGAAACUGUUCCAGAAUUACAGACUGCAUAGAAACCUCAACUUUGAACAGCCAUAACUCACAGCUAAUAACAGAUAAUAAUGUCAUUCUUGCGGCAUUGGAAAGAUAUGAAAGUCUACUUGUUCUCAUAAAAAUUUGAUGAACUUCGCACGAACAGAAUUUGAAUUAUACCAGAAUCAUUGUAGACUCCUCCAGAAAACAGCAAAGGACAGAAACAGAAUAUGACCCCAAACCAACUAUUUAUUCAUGUUCUUACUUAAGAUUCUUGACUAGGGAACUUGUGGAUAUGCCCACAAAGCUCCAGCACUCAUUACAAUAAUCCAAAUCACACAUAAUCAUAAUAACAAUCCAGCAAGCAUACCAAGUUCACACCACACUAGCAAAAGACUCGAAAUAACUCACGAUACUACUAAUGUUCCUAUUACAUAUGGGUUUUCCUAUUCCUCAGGAGCGACAUCCUUUAAGAUAGACUCUGAACGAAGCCUCUUGUGAAGCUUGGGACAGCCAAGCUCUGCUCGAAGAUCAUCUGCUUCCCUUUGCUCCCGCUCCAGGAGUUUUCUCUCACGGCGCAAUUCAUCCUCCAACUCGAUCACCUUGAUGGUUAGUUUAGAAGUCAGCGCCACCUGUGCAUGGAGCUUUGGUUCUGUAGCAUCUGGCACUUCUAUGGCCCAAGUCAUUUCCUCUGGCACGAAGCGAGGGUAGUGGUACGUCGCGUUGUACUGGGCCUCCUCAAAGCGUCUGCCACGGUAAAAGACCAAUGCCUGGUAAGCCGCAUCAGCCAUACUCUGCUUUACAAUGUCCCGCCUGAUUCAAGAAAGUUGUUUUGACUCACCCUACGAAUCCCCUUAGUAGCAUCCAGUGUCUUGACUAUCAGCUCUGCAUCCCAAAGUGAUCUCCUCAGGGGGUGUCUGUACUAGGUGCAGCAAUACUACAGAGUGGCUUGCAAAUCUGGGUAGUAGUGGUUUAAUGUCAACACCAAAUGCUCAUGGAAGAAAGCCCUAGGGACUGACUCUGGAAACCUUAGCACUGUAGUCCUACCCAUCCUUGCAUUAGCUAAAUGAGCAGGCUGUGGUGGAGGUGGUCCUGCAUCUCCUCAUCUUCAGGCACAUCCUCCUGAGCUUCCACCCUUGAUUCCUCAUCUGCCAGCUCAGUAACACCUUCCACAUGCUGCCUCCUUGGGUUGAACAGGGCACGAUACUCCUCAGCAGUCAUGUGUGCAGCACUACGAGUACAUGGCGGCAUCUACAAAAAGUUUUAGACAUAGAUCACAUAGAUGCAAUAAUUUCACAAUAGAGCAAGAUAGAGAAGCAUAAAACUUUUAGCAAAUAACAAGACCAUAGUGGAAAGCAUGAAGUAAGUGAAAUAAAGGACCUAAACUUUUGACCAUUGCUAACUAGGUUUGCAUCCUACAGUCAACAAAGCUUUGAUAUCAAUUUGUCACACCCAUAUUUUAAGAACAAAAUAGGAUGCAUAAAAGACUCAUAUGUGCCCCAGAAACAGUCACACACAUAAGUAGACAAAUCUCAAAUGUACCAUUGCAGUGUUUAUUACAUAACGGAAUGAUAAUAAAUCACAUAGUCUUAUACAAUAAUAAUAAUAAUAAUAAUAAUAAUAAUAAUAAUAAUAAUAAUAAUAAUAAUAAUAAUAAUAAUAAUAAUAAUAAUAAUAAUAAUAAUAAUAAUAAUAAUAAUAAUAAUAAUAAUAAUAAUAAAAAAUAAUGCUCUCGACGGAAGCUUCACACACAGACAGACGUUGACUGGUUGACUUCAAACCUAAUACUCAUAUCGAUAGUCCUCAUUCCAAUCAACUUCAUUUGCAUAACCUGGGGUGUUGGGAAAUUGCAAGAGUGAGCACAUAUCGUACUCAACAAGUAUAACUAGGGGUUCAUGAGGCUCAAAUAGCUGACACUGGUUUAACUGCAUUUAGCUUUUAAUUGGGGAUGUUCAUAAUUAAAUAGCAAGAGUCAAGGUAGCAUAAGUAAUCCAAUAAUCACAUGAUCAAAUAUAAGCAUAAUUAAGUCAUAGCAUAAAUGAUAACCAAAUGAACAUAAUAACUUAACAAGCUCAUCAUCUUUAGUAUAAGAACCACCAAGGCCACUCAUAACCGUGAGCACGGCUAGUAUACUAGUUUUAACACUCUACAGAGGUUGUACAUCUUUACCCAUGAGUCAUGAUUUACCCUUUCGCCCGAGGUAGCUAAUCUCUUAACCCCCUUCCUAGGGAGGUCGGCAGGGAUCACUAUGAAGCCUUUCAAAAGUUCGUCCAACAUGUUAGGGCAGCAAGGUUUCCCAGCGGCGCAGAUAUAGAGCCCCUUCCAAUGGCACAAUGACUUGCAGUCUAUACACAUAAAGACAGAUGCCACACUAUACCCAAAACGGCAAGCCCCACUAGCGCCCUUUUGGGUAACCACUAACAAGCUAGAAAAGGUCUUCAUACUGAGCUCAAGCCAGAGCCAUUAUAGCCCUCAUAGUUGCACUGUUAUCCCGGUGAUCACUUACAGACAAGAUCUCAUAUGGUUAUCAAUCAUCUUUUAACGUUCAUUGCAUAGCUAUUAAUCAUAUUACAAGAUCAUGGAUUACAUCAAGCACUAGCAUAACUACACCAAAAUGCAUAUCAAAUAGGUAACAAUGAAUAGAGGUAACAAUCAUCUAUGAUUUUGCUAAGGUCGACAAGGUGGAGACAUGCAUAUGAUAUAUAUAUAUAUAUAUGUAUUUAUAAGUGUGUAGGUAACAAGGAUGAUCCCAAGUUAUACUUGCCUUGAUCAAAGCUCUCUUGAGCCUGCUGCUGGUCAUCAAAAGCUUGGUCUUGCUCACCAACGUACGACUCACCGUCUAUCCCCAAACAUCAAUCAACAACACGCAAUCCAAUGUAGACAAUCAUACACAAAGCAAACAAGCUAUAAUUAGAACAUUACACCAGCAGUGAUAAAUCAAAGAUAAAAGUUUAUAAAAAUAUUCUAUGCAGCGCUACGAUCACACAAAUGUAAAGUUCACAAAAAUCAGAAUUAAAACAUAGAAGUUAUGAAUUUUCUAAGAUUUCCUAUAGAUAAAUUAAUAAUUAAAUGCUACUGCAAAAUUAAAAAGUUUCAAAACAGAGAAAUAAUACUUCUAACAUGUAGAGCUCGUAAAUACGAAUCUAAAGAAACUUCAAUGGACAAAAAUGGAGUUAAAACGAAUAUUUUAUAAGCAAAACAAAUCCAGUGGCAAUUCUGUAAAUAUCUGAAAGCGUAUUUUGAACUCAGCCGACAAGAAUACGCCUUCCAAACUGAAAAGCGUAAAACCGCCAAUGCACCAUGGACCACGGGUUUGAAUCUCAAGAAUCCUAGGGACUCUUUAGAAAAAGACGCAGUGAAGGGGUAUGUUUCUUUAUGGGCGUUGAUCUUCGAUCGGACGGCUAGGCCGCGCCAGGGGGUGUAACACCCUAAAAUUUUAUCUUCAAAUUAGUAUUUAAAUUGGCAUAAUUAUAGGAACUAUUUAACAAUUGUUUAGGCAAAAUGACAAUUUUUGAAAUUAUCUAAAAUAAACUAUAAGGUCUAGAAACAUGAAAUGUUGCAUUCAUGCUGGUGCAUAAUAUUUUGACUGAUUGUAGGACUAGGUUGUUUGGUUUUAAAAAUCAAUUUGAUAGAAAUUUAUCCAAAUUUACAACUCAUAAAAAUUAAAAGAGUUUUCUUUUUAUUUUCCCCCCUACACCAAAUAUGGCCCAGCCCCAAACCCUGGCCCAGUUUUCCCCCGCGCUCACCCCUGGCCUUGGGCCGUUGGCGGCCAAACUCCCCACCCCUCGCCCGCAGCGCGCAUGUGGCCUAGUGACGAGGCCCGCUCCGCCGCGGUCAGCCCGCGUGCUCCUCCCCCUUCCCCCCCUCUCGCUGCGCGGUAGGGCCCGCCUGUCGGCGCUCUCCCACCCCCUCCCUCUCUCACUGCACCGUGGGGCCCGCUCGUCAGCGUCUCCCCCUUUCUUCCCCACCGAGCCGGGAGCACCGCAGCGAGCAUUCAUCCCCUCCUUCAAACAUCGAUUGAUGGAGGCCAUCAAUCGGGGCUCCAUCAAGUCUCUUGAUGCCGGGAGUUAUCGCCUGCAUGCUCGCCCCCUCAACGCCCCCGCUCGCCCUAUAAAACCAACAGGCUGAGCCCCUCUUGCUGCCCCUAGCCACUACCAGAGCACGGCAUUUUCCCCCACCUCGGUUCACCUUGCUCGAGUGACCCAGAGCUCCCGAAGAGCGCCCCGGAGCAUGGUUGGGUCACGCCGCAGCCGUAGGCUCCUAUCUCCCCUUCGUUUUGGUCCUAGUUGCCAUGAAUUCGAGCUCACCAAUGUAUUUUCUCUUUCCAAUCCGCCCCAACCGUGGCCACACUGCUCGGAGCAUCCCCGGACGUUGCGAACCCCUUCAACGGAACCGUCGUACCCCCUCGAUGCUCCCCGUACCUUUAAUCGUGAGUUUAGGGCUUUUAAACGUCGUUAUCGAAACUCUCCGAGGGCGCGGCAAUGGCGCCGCCACGAGGCCGUCAUCCCGACAUGCUCCCCACCUUUUCUUUUUGCCCUAUCGUGUUCGCCUCAUCGUGCUGGUCACCCUGGUAGUCUUCUUUUUGUUUGACGUGGUCGGGAACGCGAUUCCGGCGAGCUCCGAGGAGCUCACCUCGUCGGCGGCAAUGGCACCACCGCGGUUGGCCCCGGCUUAGGGGAAUACCCCCUCCUUUUCUCCUGGGGCCAUUUGAUCUGAUUUCAGCGGCUCAGAUUACAUACCACUUCGGGGUUAAGUAACCGGUCCACGGUGGACCAUGGGCGCGGUCCACGGCCGCUCGGUCAGCCGGUCCACGCGCACCGUGGUGGACCGAGCCAAUCCCAAUGUGCCACGUGGCCCCCCUGUCGGCCAGCGACGCGGUCAGCCGCGGACCACCUGGGGUUUUGCACUUUAACCCCCCUGUUUGGAGUAAAUCAACCCGCAGUCCAACCUAGUUCAAAAAUAUUUCUUUUUAAUCCUAUUUUCUUCUGUUUUGAAGCCUAUACUUUUCUAUAAUAGUGCGCGCAGUCCAGAACCGUUAGAAAUUUAGUUUUGGUUCUUUUAAAUUCCUUUUUGAUUCAGUUUAUUCACAGAAAUGCCAUUCAACUUGUUUUAUGCAUAACUUUCACGUUUUAAGUCCGAUUAGAGUGAUUCUUUUGCUCAUGUGUUCGUAGAAAUGCAUAGAGUAGAUUUAUAUACUUUUCAGUCAUUGUUUUUACUGUUUGUUGUACUGUUCUAAUAGAACUCUAUUUGUAUGCAUGUGAUGACUGGAUUGGAUGCUUGUUUGGUGUUGGAUCACGAGUAGAAGGAGAUCAGGUUGGGGUGGUUGAGGAGCAGUUUGUUGAGCUCUACCAGGAGGAAACUUUUGAGGAAGGCAAGUGUAACAUAGGCUUCCUUGUACCUAUGAAUAUUAUUUAAUUCAUACAUAUGCAUGUGUCUAAAUUGAAUUGCCUAUAAGGACUUUACCUAGAUAAUUUUGUACCACAUAUCCUUGAUACCUAUGGGAAAGGUGUGCAUUUAUUUAAAUAGUUGCUACUACGCUUGAACCCAAGUUAAUAAAUUUAACCUGAUUAAUUGGUAUAUGCAAUAUGAUAAAAUAUGUUCUAGUAACUUGGUUCAGGGGGCUAGAGCUUGGGUUUUGAACGCUCUAGAUUCCUCUCCAUAAGGACUUAAUCCUGAAGCGGCCACCCAGGAGGUCACGUACUAUCCCGAGAGUCAAAUGGCUCUCACCUUAAUCAUAUAACUAGUAUGUCUCUAGCAAAUUAGUAGUUAUGGAAAGGCGCUAGAGGGGGGUGCCUCGUGGUGUAUAUAUGUCUCUCCUACCUUGGUGUGUAGAGCGCCACGACCACAUGUGCCUCUUGAAGGAGGUCGUCUAUGCACACUUGCCACUGAAACCUCGCGGCUACUAUUUUGUUAGGGUGACUAGUGAAAGGUUAAGUAGUGGCAACCUGUCACACUUCCUCGGUAGAAGUGGUGUGGGCCUUGCAAACCCCGACACUAGAGAACCACGGCUCGGGGGUAAAGUUGUACAAUUUCUGCAGAAAUCUAAAACCUCUUAUAAUAGCCGAGCUCUCGGUCAUGAGCGGCCUGGAUCCUUCUUGGUUAGCAGUUACUUGGUCUUGUUUGGGAAAGGUAUUAACUUUGAUUAAAACUUAUGUAACCAGGGUUGGUUCAUCAUUAAAAAUAGAGAGUCUUGGAUAAUAAAAUAUGACCAACUAAAAUGCUAACCGCUGUUAAACGGAGUCAAGCCUUUGAGCCUUCAUAUACCCCUAUGUUAUACUUGCUAAGCAUGGUGCGCUUACACUUGUUUAUAUUUCAAUUAAAAUCCUGGAUGGGUAACACAUGUGUGCAUUGAGGAGUUCCCUGAAGAUGUCCAGGACUUCUAGAGUGCUGGAGUUCACCAGUUGGUGUCCCUGUGGUAGCAAGGACUUAGCUUUCCGCUUUAUGUAAUAAUGUUGCCAGUGAGCAAGACUAUGUGAGAUGUUUAUGAUGAAUAUGCGAUGUAAUAAAGUACUUUACUUUGAUAUAUUUACAAUUUGUGAUAGUAUGUGUGUUUGGACAUCCUGGGCGCACAUAUUUGAGUACUUGGUUUUGUUCUCAAAACUGGGUGCGACAAAUUGGUAUCAAAGCUUAGCCUAACUGUAGGACGAUUAGCCUAGUUAGAAAUGGAUGUUCUCAGGGUCUUGAUCACUUAUUUUAUUAAUUACUUUCCUAUAAAAUUAUUGCUUAUAAUCUGUCUAAUAUCUAUUGAGAAAAUUAUUUUGUUCUAAUCCUCAUAUCUUUUCUUAUAGAUGGCCCGUACCAAGUGGACAGUCGGCAAACGUGUCAUCAUGCCCAACAAGAGGACAAGGUUCACACUAGGCAAGCGUGUUCCCCCGCAUCUAGUUGAGGCACUGAGAGACAUGGAGAAGGAGCCACAAGAGGAACAACCCAUGGAUGUACCCAUGGAUGAGGAUGCUGAGGAGGAAGCCAUGCUGGAGGAACCUGUUGAAGAAGAGGACACCGAAGAGGAGCUCAUGGAGCAAGAUGAAUAAGAGGGUGCUGGUGAUCCAGAUGAUGGAGAUAGUUCUAACAGUUCUGACUCAGACAACCAUGGCAAUAGUGGUGAUAAUGGUGACAGUGAUGGAGAUAGCCGUGAUCACCAUGCCGCGCUUCUGGCGAAGGGAUGGAUAGUGGAGAUCCAUUUUGACUUGCAUGGUGACGCCUACUAGAACCCGAAGCUCCUUACUCUCGCACGUCAUUAUCACACCAGAUGUACCGUACAGUACCGCACCGAGCAUUGGACCCGCCCCGGCUACAUCGGUUUUUGGGAGACGGAAGCUUACAUCCGAGAGGGAAGUCAGGUGUGCUACAUCCACCGUGCGAUUACCGCCAGGACUACCCGUGCAGCAGCUAUCCGGGACGCUGCCCGGCAGGCCUUGGUGGUUAACCGCGACCGCCACUUUGCUGAUAUUGCAUGGGAAGAAGAUCGCUAUCUACCUCGCCGGCGGAGUGGUCAGACCUCCUGCAACAUCACUGCACCACUUGGGGUAGGGAACCCUAGGAUCUGACCUACCUUGGCAUGCUUGGCUCAAAUCAACACUGACUUAGAUCGAGUCUCAGAUGAGCUAGGUGCCAUGAGGAAAGCCUACCUCGAGUUGGCUGUUGAGAACGCCAUGUUGAAGCAACAGUAGGGGAGUCAUGUUGAAGAAGUACCACUCAUCCUCGCAGAGUCACCACCAAGGAACCAUGAGGAUCCCAACACCGGCACCAACCUUGACCCUUAGGAGGAUUUUCCCACUUGUAAUAAGUACGCAUAGAGAUGCGAGAGUGUGUUUUUAUUUUCCCAAUGUUUGAACAAUUGCUAUUAAGUGAAUGCAUGCUUAUAAUAAUGCUUAAUGAGUGAGUUGGAUUCUUGUCAUGAUUUUAAUGAUUGUGGGCAUGUCCGCAAUCAUUUAGAUUAGGGCUAAGGUCUAAGGAUAAUAUGAAUAAAUAGUUGGGUUUACUUAUAUCUUGCUGUCCAGCCAUGUUUUUCCUCUGAACAGUUUACCUUAAUAUCUGUAUAUCUCGAGUUCCGGACGGUCUAUAAAUACAAAAAAUUUAUGGAACAAAAUAGACUUCUAUAUCUUUCCUUCGGCUCUGGAAUCACCUCAAUAUCUGCUACCGUUUGAGAGAUAAAAUUGUUACAAGAUAACAUCUCUGCGCAGUCAGAAAUUCCAGAACAGUAAAGGUUGUCAUUUGCUUUCACCUAUGUAAACGCCAGAAUUCGAGAAAAAGAUCUGAAUGUAAGUUGUAGGAAACUUCCCAAGCUUUCCAGAAAGUUAAAUUUCGCAGUCAGAGAAUAAACAGAGAGAAGGAUAUACUUGUUUUACUCCACUGCUGUUUAGCAAGGGCAGCAGAAAAAUACAUAAUGCAUACUACUCUGUACUCCCAACAUAUGUAAUCCUGUACUUGAUCAGAUGGUAUAAAUUCCAGCAUGCUAUCUCUAAAACUUAAGUAUCCUGGACAUAUGAGACUCAUAUUGUGUAUCUGGUAUAGAUGGCCAACACUAGGAGGAACAGAAGGGGUGAGAACUUGCCACCACCACCACCACCUCCUACCAUGGAGCAGCUGAUGAUGAUGAAACGCAGCUACUACAGCAGCUGGCUCAGAAUAUGCAUAACAAUGGAAAUGGAAAUGGAAACGCACCUCCACAUGUUAGGGACAAGAGAGGAGAAUUCUUGAAGGGACACCCACCUGUUUUCAAGCACUCCACUGACCCUCUCAAAGCUGAUGACUGGCUUCAUGCUAUUGAAAGACAACUGGAGAUUGCACAGUGUGAUGACAGAGAGAAAGUGUUGUAUGCAGCGGGACAACUGCAAGGAGCUGCUCUUGAUUGGUGGGAUUCAUUCGUUUUGGCCGUACUAAUGCUGAUCCCAUAACCUGGCUGGAGUUCCCUAAUGCUUUCCGCUCUCAUCAUGUCCCUACUGGGUUAAUGAAACUGAAAAGGAAGGAAUUUCUCUCCCUCAGGGAGGUAUGUCUAUUGCUGAAUAUCAUGACAAGUUCAUACAAUUGUCACGAUAUGCUCCCACUGAAGUGGAGGAUGAUGAAAAGAGGCAGGAGCUAUUCAUGGAAGGUCUGAAUGAUGGGCUCCAGUAUCAACUGCUAUCCCACACUUUUGCAAGUUUUCAGUAUCUGGUGGACAAGGCCUUAGUUAUUGAAAACAAGCGCCGACAGAUGGAAGAUAAGAAAAGGAAUUUCCAAGGACAACAGUCAGGAAACAACACACGUACCCGUACCAAUACCCAACAAGCUUAUCCACAGCAACGUUAUCAGGGUCAGUCAAGUCUGAUCAAUCGUAACCAGCAACCACAACGUGCAUAGCAGCAGCAGCAGCAGCAGUACAGAGCUCCUAACCAACGUCAGUAGCCAGUCAAUAAUGCUCCAGUAAAGACAAAUGUUCCCAAUGCUCCACCAAAGAAUGGUGCACCAAAAGCACCAAAUGCUAACAAUGAUAACAAAUGCUACAGCUGUGGUGAGCCGGGACAUUAUUCCAAUAGGUGCCCCAAGAAGAUGGCACAGAACAAUAUCAGAGGAACGGUAAAUCAUGUGACAGCCGAGGCGGCUCAGGAGGCACCAGACGUGAUGCUCGGUAUGUUUCUAGUUAAUUCAAGCCCCGCUACAGUUCUAUUCGAUUCUGGUGCAUCACAUUCCUUUAUUGCUUAGUCAUUUGUCAAGAAAUAUGAUAUACCCAUGAUUGCUAUGAAAAAUUCCAUGAUAGUUAGCUCACCUGGAGCAGAAAUGCAAGCUACCCUUAGAUGCCCCCUAGUGAACAUCACCUUAAGGGGGGUAGAGUUUACAGUUAGCCCUGUGGUUUUGAAAACCUCCGGUAUUGAUGUUAUCUUGGGAAUGGAAUGGUUGAAACAGAGAAAGGCGGUUAUACAAUGUGAUAGCAAAAUAAUUCAGUUAGUGACACCUUCAGGCCAGCAAAUUGAGGUAGAGGUUAGUAUGUCAGCUAAACAAUACUAUAUAGUUAAUCAACUAAAGGGGACAUCAAUAGAAGACAUACGAAUAGUGAAUGAAUAUCCGGACGUUUUUCCUGAGGAACUACCAGGUAUGCCACCCGACCGUGACAUUGAGUUUAUAAUUGAACUUUUACCUAGAACUGCACCCAUAGCUAAAAGACCAUAUAGAAUGGGUGUGAAUGAAUUAGCAGAACUUAAGAAGCAAUUAAGAGAAUUGCUAGAUAAAGGUUAUGUCCAACCAAGUUCCUCACCUCGGGGAGCACCAGUGUUAUUCGUAGAAAAGAAAGAUGGGACACAAAGAAUGUGUAUAGAUUACAGAUCGCUUAAUGAGGUCACAAUUAAGAACAAGUAUCCACUCCCUAGAAUCGAUGACCUGUUCGACCAGUUGAAAGGAGCUUGUGUGUUUUCUAAGAUAGACCUUCGGUCUGGUUAUCAUCAGUUAAGGAUAAGACGAUCUGAUAUCCCUAAAACUGCUUUUGUGACUCGAUACGGACUAUAUGAGUUUACAGUCAUGUCCUUUGGCUUGACAAAUGCACCUGCCUACUUUAUGUAUUUGAUGAACAAAGUAUUCUUGGAAUACCUUAACAACUUCGUGGUCGUGUUCAUUGAUGACAUACUUGUUUUCUCUAGAAAUGAGAUAGAACAUGAGAAACACUUGAGAUUGGUACUGCAGAAGCUUAGAGAACAUCAACUCUAUGCUAAGCUUAGUAAGUGUGAGUUUUGGUUAAAAGAGGUAUCUUUCCUUGGUCACAUCAUCUCUGACGGAGGGGUAGCAGUAGACCCUAAAAAGGUUCAGGAUGUGCUAAGCUGGAAGCCACCCAAAGAUGUGAGUGAAAUUAGGAGUUUCCUUGGAAUGGUCGAGUACUAUAGAAGAUUCAUUGAGGGAUUCUCUAAGUUAGCCAAACCAAUGACUGCUCUGCUAGAAAAGAAUGCCAAAUUUAUAUGGUCAAAAGAGUGUCAGGCUAGUUUCGAAGAAUUGAAAAAGAGACUGACUUCUGCCCCCGUACUCAUCUUACUUGAUAUCACUAAGAGUUUCUCUAUCUACUGUGAUGCCUCUCGGCAAGGUCUUGGUUGUGUGCUGAUGCAAGAAGGCAGAGUUGUGGCCUAUGCCUCUAGACAGUUGAGGAAACAUGAGUUGAAUUACCCGACCCAUGAUUUAGAGUUAGCAGCCGUGGUGCAUGCUCUAAAAAUAUGGAGGCACUAUCUAAUCGGUCAUAAAUGUGAGAUUUAUAUAGAUCAUAAGAGUUUGAAAUAUAUUUUCACCCAGUCUGAUUUGAACUUAAGGCAGUGAAGAUGGUUGGAACUGAUAAAGGACUAUGACCUGGAAGUACACUAUCAUCCGGGAAAAGCUAAUGUAGUGGCAGAAGCCCUGAGUAGGAAGAGC